rnacentral:lncRNA from 1 species
AACGCUCAGCCUUCAGCCCAUAUGCUUCUUUUUCGUCACAUGUUGCUUCAAGCGAGAAUGAACCAUAGCUCAUGUUGCUGUAGCUUACCAUCUAUGAAAUACCAUUUAGAAGGUGCAGCCCUCGUCCUGGGGAUCACACAAAAACUUAUGUACAUUAUAUUUUGGUGACAGUCUGACAGAUUUUGCCUGCAGGUAUUAAGCCUAACGUUUCUUAUUGAUGUUGAAGAAGGAUAAGCGUUUUUUUUUUUUUUUUUUUGGACAACUAUAGUUAUACAAAUAAUUUUAGAGAUCAUAACAUUUAAAUUUCGACUUGACUCUUAAUGUCAUGUGUUACUCAUUUAUUAGAUGAUGAAUUUUAUAAUUUGUAAAAUUAAUUAACCAUCAUUCAAUGAAAGAAUCUCACACAAACUCAAAUUAGAACUUAAAUUUUGAAAUGCCUAAUAUUACUUAUAACUAUAAUUAGUGUACUAAGAAUGUCAUAAGUUCCCUAUACUUCUUGUUGGAUUUUAGACCUUAAAUUGGUGUUUGUUGUAGAGAAAUGCUAGUUUUACACAUAAUUAAAUUAUUAUUAUUUUUAUUGUCAUAGGGCAUUUGAUCGAGUGGUUUUUAAACUAUUUUAUUUGAUUAAGUGCCAGAUCUCAAGUCCCUGAGCAGUAGGGAUUAUUUGGAUAUUCUCACUUCCUAUCUUUUCAGAAAGGGCAAAAAGAAAACUUGCUUAGCGAAGCUUAACUACUGCUGUUAAUAUUCUAGCCAUUUAAUAAACUUAUGCCCAUUGUUUGGAAAACAAAAAAAUACAAUUAUUUUUCGAAGAAUAUAAGCAUGAAGAAAACUGAAAUUAAGAAUGAAAUUAGAGAGGUUCAAAAGGCAUAUAUAUGAAUUAAACUGAAGUUGAUUAUAAUAAGGGUUAAUAUCAUCAUUUGCAAAGAACAAUAACCAAAAUAAGAAGCUAAUUUAAAGUUUCUUAACAACUAGCUCUAAAGAAAGACAAGUGCAGCAAAUUAAAGAUGUUUAAUUAAACCUCUCCAAUCUUAAACAUAAGUAGUUGAGGUGCCGAAUAUGUUUGGAUCGAUCCAGUACCGUAAGUAACAAGGCAGCUUCUUCUAAUUAAGCAUGUCGUCCCGUCUGGUUAUUUCCGCUUGCCAGAACGCAACCUCACCCAUGAUCACAUAAUUAUCCACCAACAAAACAAUCGUUGCCAAGGUCAUAAUCAAGCUAUCAUCAGACUGUCCGUGCUCUCCGCGGACGGCAGCUGCUAUAACCUCGUGAUAAAUCCAUGACAUUGCAACACCAUUUUCCAUCAAGAAACGAUGUGCGGGACCCAAAUCUGCACUACGAAAAGCACCACGAAAGAAGUUGAGCAGCAAAGGUAUGUAAAUCGAGAGAAGAAAAUAAUACGCAUUGAUGCUUAAAGAGAGCAGAACGCCGGCCCGCCUGCUUUGUGUGCAGAGAUGAGAUAAAGCUACUACGUAUUGUGCCCAGUAAAAGAUCGAAGAAGCUGAUUCGAUUCUGAUGCUGAAUCCCCAGACCAAGACUAAGGUUGGAGCAAGGGUUGCUAUGCCUGCAUAUUCAGAGCCCAAAACCUCCGCGAACAAGAUCAUCCAGCUGUUUAAGUUUGUGAUGAGCAUCAUUGUUAACAAAGAUGACAUGUCGGGAAGAAGCUCAUGAUUGUGGGUUGGCCAAAUAGGCAUUUUCCCUCUUUUUUGUAAAUUUUUUUCUCGGUAUUGUAUGUAACUUGUCUGUUUGGCUUCUGGGAAAACAAAUAUGAGAGGAGAAAGUGAUUGGAGAAAAUUAAGCUGAAUUACAUGAUGAGGGUUGAGGCAGUCCAAACCAUGUGCUUCUACUCUGUUAGUGCAUUUACCUAUCUCAUAUAACAAAUGGAAAUGGCAGAGAAUUCAAAUUAAAGCUGCACAAAAUGGGAAACUGAGGUAUAAAGUGCUGGGUGGAAGUGACAAAUUAAGGAAUUUUAAAGGUCAUAGUCAUCUCAAUUUAUAGACUUCAUUAAUGCCAAUAUCUUAUUAAUUUCUGAAGUUGAAAAUUAACAUAUCGUUGACGAUGUUGAGCUGUACAAAGCUCGUUACUCAUUCCAGUCACUUUAUUUCUCAAAUUUAUGAUCUUUCAAAAUCUUCUCAACUCCCACUGUUAUUGCUGUUUUUUCUGUUGAUCAAUUAAAAUUCAUUUCUUCUGUUUGAAUGCAGGCACAUUUAUUUUUCAUCAAUUUUUUUUAUUUACGCAUAUCUAUAUUUUGAGUAAUUGUAAAAAAUUAUGUAUGGGAAUUAAGAAUUAUUGUUAUGUUAUUAACCAAACUCUCAAGAUUUUAAAUGCAGUGGAAAGUUUUGUAUGUUUCAAUUUUAUUUUUAUCAAUAUUUUUUUGGAGAAACAAUUGUUGAAAAAAAAAAGUAAAAUAAGAGAGCGAGAAACUUUUGCCAAAAAUUGAAAAGGAGACUUGUACUCCAAGUUAUUGCUAUAUGCCCACACAUAACACAAGCGUAAUGUAUAUCUCCAUAAUUAAAUGAUGAAUGAUUAUUCACGUCUCUUGUAGAAGAUGAAAAAUUCAAGAACAUACCAAUAAGUUUGAAAGAAGAAAUACUGAUUAGAUGUGAAGAUGAUCGGUGUGAACUUAAACGUGUUAUUGGAUCGUUUGAAAUCUUGUGUUGCGAAGAUGGAUAAAAUAUUGAAGCUAAUCACGUCGAUGAGUGAACAUGAUAAAAUAAUCAGUGUUCAAGACCAUUUGAGCAUUUUACAGUUUAAAUGCAUAGAGAAAUUGUAUGAUGAAUGGAGUGAUGAUGCGAUAGAGGCAUCGAUUAAUAAACUAAGGUUACUUGAUUUUAACCUAAAAAAGACUCACUUGCCUUUUGAACUUUGUAAAGGCUAAUAUUUAACAUUUAAUUUCUCCAAUAUUUUAAUAGUACAUUUGUCUAUAUCUACAAGUGAGGUUUAUCAUGAAUAUAGAUUUUUAAAUUGUAAGAACCAUGAUUUUAUAGUAAAAAAAAAAAAAAAAAGAACACAACGAACGACAAAAAUAGAUAAUGAACACAUAUUCUUUUAAAAAAUUUAAAUAAUUUAUGUCUAAAAAAAUAACAAUCAUAACAAGAUCAUGUUCUUUUUACCUACUCACAAUCAAUAAUUUUAUGCAUUCUAAUAAAAUAGUAAUAAUUAAGUAAAAUAAAAAUAAAAUAAGCUCAUGAUCAACACCAACUACCAACAGAGACAACAAAUAUUUUGUGAUAGAUUGUGGACAAAAUAACGUAUAUCAUAAAAGCAUGCGAACUCGUGAUGGAAUUACAGUUUAUGAAGGAUUAAUGACCAACUUUGUGAUAGAAUUAUUGACAAUCACGAACUUAAGAUAUGGUCUAAGACAAAAAAUUAUAUUAACUAUUAUUUAAAAAUAAGAAAUGAAACGGUGCGUUUAUGUAGUGCUCGAGUAAAAACACUCCGGUAUUUUCCAAGUCUAAACACAGUCAUCCUCACGAUAACGGGUCACAGCCUCACUAUUAAAUCAUAAACUCAAACCCUCACUCGAUCAUUCAAAUUUCUAUGACGUCACUGCGUAUAUUACAAAGCAAAGAGAGUUACCAUAUUGCUAUCGUUCAGACCUCAAUGUUGCCGCCGUUGUGCCAAUCAUCUAUCGGAGUUCUUGGCGAAGAGUGGUCGGGAUUUGCUCCCCGGUCGCUGGAGGCCCCAACACUGGUGAGAUUCGAUGUGACACAGUGGAAUUAGCUGUGAACCGAUGAGUUAGUGGUGGCCAGGGUUUCACUUUCGUUUCCCCCAAACCAGUUUUCUUCCCAAUUCCCCAUAUGCCCCUCAUGUAGUGUCAUAUUAUUAAUCGAUGGUUCAUGUUCUUUCAUUUCUAUUUCAUAACAAAUUACUUUUAAAUUUAUAAUUUAACUUGGUAAUUAAAUAUUUAUUCGUUUAAUUGUUGCAAUUCGAGCUGGAUUAUGAGCUGAUGGGUUCCCUCGAUGAGAAUUCAGCUCAGUCUCUUGAUCAACUAUGGGACCUCACAGUAAUACCAACUUAUUCAGCCUUUUCUUUUGUCCAUAACAUACGAAAAGGAACUUGCUAACCUCCCCGUUCAAUUUGACAUUUUUGUUAAAACCUGGAUUUUAUUAAUUUUUAUUAUUUGUAUAUGUGCCCUAUGGUGGAGUUACUGAAGAGUUGAAAGGCAGUUGUUAGAAAACAAAAAAUUAAUAUUCAAUUCCUUAGUUCAUCCUUGACUUGGCUUCCAUGGCUUUUUGCACAAACCAUGCUUGACUAUCGAAAUUAAGGAAUUAGGUUGGAUAAUGCUUAGAUGGUCAAUAAUUAGCCAAACAAGACAAGUAAUAUCCAUUGGUUGAUGAUGCGUGAUUACUGGAUGGGUCAUCUUAAUAAUAGUGCCUUUGAUAUUAGGUGUACUUUCUUAUUUGUUUUGGACUCAUCCAGGGACCAGAAGGCAGAGGCUGAGACUAAGCCUUUUAUGAAAAAUUCUCUGUCCUAGGUUAAGUUUGGCACUAUUGUGCCGAGUAAGUUGCAUUAAUUUCUUUCACUCUCUGUGUUUUUGAUUCCUUGAUCAGUUUUCAAUAUGCAAAGCACUGAACUUAAAUUUCUGUGACUGUGUGGUAGAUUGACUUGAGUGGAAAUUUGCUUUCAAAUUAGAAGGUUUGCGUUCGUACAUUUUACAAUUUGUAAGAGCUGCUCCAAAUAUGUUUUGAUCUGUACUCUCUCUUUCGCCUUUGUCUUUCUUGUCAUACAUAAGCACAAAAAUUAUUAUCAUCUAUGUGCAUUGAAGGAGCUUUAGCUUUAAAUUUAUUAGCUACAAAACCUGCGUUUUCUGCUAGAUAACCUUUUAAAAAGCACGGUCAUAUUUAGCAUGACAUCGAUGCACAUAACUGGCUUUUUAGUCUUUCAAUAAAUUCUAAAUUUCUCAAAGCUAAAUGCAAUAGGUGAUCUCUAUUGGUUUGUUUGAGUUUCUCUGAUUAAACUUACUCUCCUUUUUACUGUAAAAUGGAAAUGAAAAAUCUCUUGAGUGCGCUGAGAUUUCCUACAAUUGGGUUCUUAAGUCAAGGCGUUGUUGAAUGAAAUGAAAUUCGCUGGUGGUGCAGUGCAUGCCAGAACAACUAAGCCUACUUCUACUCUUUAGUGGUGCAUCUACUGAAGUUUCAUUAUUACUGAUAGUGGAGAGCUGAGACAAAUUGGUCGAAAGUAGAUGUAUAAUUUCUUAGCAAUGUUUUGGUUCAUGCUUUGAUAUUUUCAUUUGUUUGGUAUUUCUUGAGAUUACUAUUAUUAAUAUAUUGGUAAAUGAUGUUGAUUAUUGCUAUAAACCACUAUUUGUGAGUAUACAUUAAGUGAUUGCUCUACAUAUGUUUUUCGUUUAAAAGAAAUGAUAGUUUAUAUAUACAAGCUUCUUUUUUUCUAUAUUUAAAAAUUUUAUAUCAUCAUUGUGGUUUAAUUAUGAAUUCUUUGCAGAAGGAUUUUAGCGCUGGAAUUUGGUGGACAUUGAUUUUUGGCACAGGUACUUUGCUGCUGGUGAUUACUCAUGUUGGGAUAUGGGGUUGAUGUAUUUUGAAAAUACUUCAAAAUACAUGUAUUUUGUUGUUUAUUUUUAUAGGAGGCAACACCAUAAUAAAAUAAUAAUAAUAAUAAAAAUAAAAUUUAGCGUAAUUAUCAAACUUUGUUUAUAAAAUUAACCCACCAAAGAUAAUUUUUCCAAAAAUUAAUAGAAAAUUUAUUUUUUAGUGGGUUCAACUGCCACUGCACCCUUGAAUAUAGAUCCAUCCUGGUGACAAUGAUGUAGACAAAGGAGAGAUUGUUUGUCAUGCACCUCAUUUUAUGAUAAUUAUUUUUCAUCAUCGAAUGUUUGUUUUCUUAUAAUGCUUGUUAAUUUAAGAAUCAUAUGGUUAACUUUGACUGUGCCUAUUUGCCAUAUGGGCAAAAUUUUGCUAUUUCAUGGCUUAACUAGAAAAAAAAAACCUUUAUUGACUUAUUUUUUUAUUUACCUCAAAUUCAUCCGUCAUUUUCACUUAGAUUCUGUUUAGUGUGGCUUUAUAAAUAGCACUUAUUUACUGUAAGUAUAACUUUUGUUAGGAAAACUUUUACCAAAAUAAUUUUAGUUGUUUGAUUAUCAAUGAGAACUUUUAUUAAAAAUUGUAAAAAUUACUUUAUAGGUAAGUUUUUUUAAAAUUAUGUUAUGAAAUAAAUAAAAUAAGAUUAUAAAAAAUAAAACAAGAUAUUUUAGACAUUAACAUUUUGAAAAAGUUUUUCAAUCUUUGUGCCUAAAAGUCCAAAAUUUGAACUUUGCGAGUAAAGGUAAAAUAACUUAUUUGAUCUUCAAAAGUUUUACCAUUAAAUAAGUUAUACCAAACAAACACUUAAAAAAUUAUUUAUUAUAAGAAGUUAUAAAGUGACGGUUCAAAUUAAACAAUGUGAUAGCAGGAAUAUUUGAUUUAGGAGAUAAAUGAUUCGGAAAAUUGCAAAAAUUUAUUACACUUUGAAGUGUUUUUUUUUUUUUUUUUUUAAGUAUUCAGCAAGUAAUUCUGACUUGUUGGACUUCCCAAAAAGUUUGAAUGCUUUUUAAGUCUUCCAUUCUAUAAAUUUCCUUAACCAGUGCACAUGCACGGGCCAUCACUCUAUAAAUCACAAGGCUGCUUUCAGGGGAAUUUAUUCUAUGGAAUUUUUAAACUUCUAUCAGCAUGAUGAAUUUCUUGUCCGCUUGAACCCGGCCACGCUCCCCACUCCAAACGAAGGCUCACUGGGAGACUGUACCGUUUACAUUCCUGUCUCUCGUAACAGUAGCAAUAUUUCUUGGAAUGCAAGCAAUGCUUUUGAAAUCAGUAGCUAAGUUUUGGAUUUUGAUUUAUUUUCUGGUUUCACAUGAGAAAUCUAAUUAUAUGAUCCAUAAAUACUCGAGCUACUAUCAUCAAGCUUUUUUUUCUUUAUUAUUUUUUUUCUAACUAACAAAUUAAUGAAUUCCAGCUGCCCUCCAGAGUUGCACCAAUACACUUCAGUGAAGGAUUGUAAGAGAAGCCUAGUGAAGUGGUUAGGGGAACUCCAGACAGCUGAAGAAGUAACACUACCCUUUCUCUUGUUGUCUGAAUGGACGUUGGCAUUGAGAUUACUUAGCAGGCCCGCUACUUAUACGGUAUUUACAAUAGUGGCCUUUGCUUUGCCCGUAAGCAUCAGAGAUUCGAGUGAACAAGUUCACAAUUCACCAUAAGUUGUCGGAGUUGAACCUGGUCAGAACUAUGGGUAAUAUGAAAACGCUAAAUUGUGUGCAGAAGAAUCACCACAAAAGUCUCCCUCCCUUUGUCCCCAUAUUUACCUUUCUAAGAUUUCUAUAUAACUAUCCAAAUUAUGCACGUGGGGAAUUAGCAAAAGGAUCAGGUAAUAUCAUGUAAAUGCAAAUAUGUCAAUGAAUUUGAGUGGUCAAUGUUGGUGUCAUAAUUCAUUAGGAAUCAAUCUUUGGAGCCAGCGGAGUUAUUCUCAGAGAUUUUAGGGUCGAUGGUAGAAAUUGAAAUAGGUGUGGCCCAGUUAUUGAGAUUAUAGUCUGGUACCACUUGUGCAACAUAGUAAGAUCAUUUGGUUUUCAUCCCUGAAGAAAUUUUGGAAAUGAGAGGCUUGAUCCAUUCAAAGGUAUAAAUUAAAGCUUGAAUUUGCACAUGGCCAUAUCACCUACACGGGUACAUCAUCAUUUUCUGCUCCCCGUGUAUAUCGCCCAAAGUUGCAUCCCUUUUCACUGCCAACAGCUUUAUGCCCAACUGUAACAAAGUAAGCAUGACACUGAACACAUGAUGCAAUUCUUAGCAUACCAGAGAGGGCUGGUGGUGCUGUUAACAUCUGCUGUACGGCCAAGUGAGGGAAAUCCUGUAGGCCUUAACAUGGUUUCACCACUGUCAAAACCUGAAAGUUUGGAUAUGAUUGGGGUUUUUUUUUUUCCCUUUUUCAUAGAUAAUUUUUUUGAAUUCUUUGCUGCAUAAAUCCAGUGUUGAAAAAUCAUGCACCUGGCAUGCAAAUUCAAGAAAGCAUGCAAUUUUUCAAAGAGCUACCAAACAUUUGAAGAAAAAUGAAAAGUUGGCAAAUUUGUCAAAUUUGCCAAAUGGACACCAUUGACAUAUUUGCAUGGGUUAGGUGGAAUAGUGUUUGGGUUAGGUGGAAUAGUACUAGCUUCAAACCUAUAAAUAGAGAGCAUUUCUUCAUUCCAUUUCAUCCCAAAAUUGUUAAGCUUAUAAGUUUCUAAGCUUUUGAGAGAAGUGAGAGAAGUGUGUCUGGGGAAUUUAUCUUUUCUGCAGAGUGUGAGAGUACUGGGUAUAUUUGGGUUUCUGGGAAGUGAGAUUCGUUAUUCAAAUAUUGUACUCUAUUAAUUGUUAAAUAAACAAUUAUUCUUUCUUGCCUCUGUGGAUGUAGGUUUAAUUACCGAACCACGUAAUUCUUGUGUCCUUUAUUUUUCUAUAAUUAUUUGGUGCGCUUGAUUCCGCAUUCCGCGCACAACAAGUGGUAUCAGAGCCUACGGUUCGUACUUGGGGGGAUACGGUACUGUUCACGUAUACGGUACUAUUCCCGUAUACGGUACUGUUCACAUACGGUACUAUUUACGAAUACGGUGGAGACGGCCAUUUGUACUUGGGAGACAAUCUAUUGUAAGUAGUGUGUAUUUUUGCAUGUCUAGGAAAGUUCUGUCAACAAAGGCGAUAAGAGUCUAAGGAUUCUGGUUUUUAAUUGGGACCGAGUUCCCGUCUAGUCUCCUGGGAACUUUUCUGGUGCAUUUAUUCAUGCGAAAUUAACAUCAUAGAGAUUGUUUUUCAAGUGGAAAUAGUUCGUUGAGAAAAUAGUAGAAGGUGAAACUUCUAGAAUUGGGGAGAGAUCUACAGAGACUAUUUCAGGAGACACUUCAGGUGGGAGGCGAGAUUUGUCAAAUCGCUAUUCAGCACCUGUUAUAGGAGGCCAGAAAAUCGAUGUUGAAAAAUUUGAUGGGAAAAUCAACUUUUGCAUGUGGAGGCGCGAAGUUAUGGAUGCCCUUAUUCAAAUCGAUCUUGAUGUUGUUUUGAAAAAUAAAAGACACUUGUAUGAUGAAGAAAUUUGGGAUCGUAUGAAUGAAAAAGCUUGUGGUCAGAUCAAAUCUUGUUUGACCAAGGAGGUGAAAUACUUGGUGAAGGAUGAUGAGUGUGCGAUGACUUUGUGGCGUACAUUGGAGGAGAAUUAUUUGUUAAAAAGUCCUGAAAAUCGCCUUCAUGCAAUGAGCCAAGUAUAUGGCUUUCGAAUGAAGCCUGCGGUGUCAAUGCACAAUCAUGUCUCAAGAUUUGAAAAGUUACUUGCUGAUUUGAAGAAUCUUGAUGAAGAUAUUAAGGAUGAAGUCAAAGCUAUGAUUCUGUUACAUUCACUACCAGAGGAAUAUAACCAUUUUGUGACUACUUUGAUAUAUGGGAAGAGUGUGAUCGUCUUCAAAGAUGUUUGCACAACAUUGACUAGCUUAGAGAUUCGGAAUAAUGAUAAAAAUUCUGAACGAGCAUCGUCUGAAGCUUUGGUGAGUAGAGAUUGGGCGAUGGAGAAACAGAAGAAGCGUGGUGGAAAGAAUUCUCGAUCCAAAUCGAGAAGCAGAAAUAUAGCUCGAGACGAGUGUGCUUUUGUCAUGAAAAGGGCCAUUGGAGGAAAGAUUGUCCAAAGGCUCAAAAGAGAGAUGGGAAGAAACCAGCAGUAGCAAACAUGGCACGGAAAGAUGAAGACUCUGAUUAUUCACUAAGUAUUACUCCUGCAGUAUACGCGGCUAGUUUGAGCGAGUGGAUACUUGAUAUUGGAGCAACCUAUCAUUUGUGUCCUAUUAAGGAAUGGUUUACGGAUUUUCGUAAUCUGAAAUCCGGUGUAGUUGUGAUGGGGAAUGAUCAACCUUGUCGCACAAUGGGGAUAGGAACAAUUCGGCUCAAAAUGUUUGAUGGAAUGAUCAGAGAACUCAAAGAUGUUAGAUUUGUUCCAGCUUUAAAGAAAAAUCUAAUUUCUGUGGGUGCUUUGGAAGCUAAAGGCUACAAGGUUACCAUUGAAGAUGGUAUAAUAAAGUUUACACAUGGGGCUAUGGUGAUUCUGCAAGGGGUUCGGCGUCACAAUCUGUACUAUUUGAAGGGAGGUACAACUGAUGAAGCAAAUGUUGUUGAGGUGCACAGUGACACCACCAAGCUAUGGCAUGUACGACUGGGACAUGCUGGCGAGAAGUCUUUGCAAACUCUGAUGAGGCACAGACUCUUAAAAGGUACCAAAACCUGUAAAUUAAAUUUCUGUGAGCAUUGUGUAGUAGGCAAGAAAACAAGGGUUAAGUUUUGUACAGCUAAUCACGAUACUCGUGAGAUCCUUGAAUAUGUUCAUAGUGAUGUAUGGGGACCAACCAAGACUGCAUCAAUUGGUGGAAGCUAUUAUUUUUACAUUUGUUGAUGAUUUCUCUAUACGUGUGUGGGUGUACACCAUGUGAGCAAAGGAUGAGGUUCUAGAGAUUUUCGUGAAAUGGAAGAAAUUGGUGGAGACUCAAACUGGCAGAAAGAUCAAAGUAUUACGAUCUGAUAAUGGGGGUGAAUAUACUUAUGAUUCAUUCUUGCAAGUAUGCCAGAAUGAGGGUAUUAAAAGACAUUUCACGGUGAGACAUACUCCGCAACAGAACGGUAUGGCUGAGCGUAUGAAUCGUACUUUACUGGAGAAGGUACGGUGUAUGUUAUCUAAUGCUGGUUUAGAUAAAAAGUUUUGGGCUGAAACUGUGAGCUACGCAAGUCACUUGGUAAAUCGGUUGCCUUCUGCUGCAAUUGGAGGUAAAACUCCUAUGGAAAUGUGGUCUGGAAAGCAUGCACAAGACUAUGAUUCCCUUCGUAUAUUCGGGUGUCCAGCUUAUUAUCAGGUUAAAGAUGGUAAACUGGAUCCUCGUGCUAGAAAAACUAUCUUUGUGGGAUUCAAAGGUGGAGUAAAGGGCUUCAAGCUUUGGGAUCUCGAAGAUAAAAAAUUUGUGUGUAGCAGAGAUGUCACAUUUGAUGAAGCUUCAAUGAUGAAAGCUUCAAGUUCUCAACAGGUGGAGAACAAGACCACAUAGGUAUUGCAGCGGGUGGAGUUUGAUGCAACUCCAUAUGUACUAGUUAGAUCUACAUCAAAGAAGGGUUCAACUAUGGAUGUAACAACUAAAGUUGAAGAAGAUGUUGUUUCUUCUAAUGUCCCACAAAAUGAAGAAACAAUUGAUGAUGUAGAUAAUGAUGAUUUUAUAGCAACAAGGAAGCUAAGAAGAGAGAUAAAGAAACCCGGAUGACUUACUAAAGACAUGGUGGUAGCCUAUGCACUUCCAGUUAUUGAUGGUGACAUCCCCAACACUUUCGAGGCUAUUGGCAAUAAAUGGGUAUACACCAAAAAGCAAUGAUCUCCGAGUCAAUCAACUCCUCGAUACAAGGCAAGGCUCGUGGCAAAAGGUUUUGCUCAAAAUGAAGGUAUUGACUAUAAUGAAGUUUUCUCUCUAGUUGUAAAACAUACUUCCAUUCGUAUCCUACUUACCUUAGUUGCAGAAUAUGAGUUAGAGUUGGCUCAAUUGGAUGUUAAGACGACGUUCUUACAUGAAGAUUUAGAGGAGGAAAUCUAUAUGAUUCAGCCUUGUGGUUUCAGAGUUGCUGGAAAGGAAAAUCAUGUGUGUAGGCUGAUUAAAUCUUUGUACGGACUGAAGCAAUCGCCAAGGCAGUGGUACAAAAGAUUUGAUCAAUUUAUACAAAGGCAGAAAUUCACCAGAAGUGAACACGAUCAUUGUGUUUACUUUAGAAGACUACCAGAUGGAGCUUUCAUCUAUUUGUCACUCUAUGUCGACGAUAUGCUUAUAGCUUUGAAGAAUAGAGAUGAGAUCGAAAGAUUAAAGAAGCAGCUGGCUUCUGAGUUUAAGAUGAAAAGACUUGGGUGAUGCACAGAGAAUACUUGGGAUGGAGAUUCGUAGAGACAAGAAGAAUGAGAGCGUAUGGUUGACUCAAAAGUCUUAUUUGAAGAAAGUGCUAGAAAGAUUCGGUAUGGAUGACAAAACUAAACCGGUAUGUACACCUUUAGCUCCUCAUUUCAAAUUAAGCUUUUCUUCAUGUCCUGAAUCUCAAGAGGAGCGCGAUUACAUGGCUCGUGUUCCAUAUGCUAGUGCUGUGGGUAGUCUUAUGUAUGCUAUGGUAUGCACAAGGCCCGAUAUAUCUCAAGCAGUGAGCAUGGUUAGUAGAUACAUGCACAAUUUGCUCUGUCCACUACGGAAGCAGAGUAUAUGGCAGCAACUGAAGCUGUAAAAGAAGCUAUCUGGUUGAAAGGCUUGUUAUGUGAUUUGGGAGUAAUCCAAGAGAACAUUACGGUCUUCUGUGAUAAUCAAAGUGCGAUAUUCCUUGCGAAGAAUCAAACAUAUCAUGCUCGGACGAAGCACAUAGAUGUGAAAUAUCAUUAUGUGAGAGAGAUUAUCGAGAGCGGUGUUGUGUUGUUGAGAAAGAUCGAUAUCAAAGAUAAUCCAUCAGAUAUAUUGACGAAGGUAGUUUCUGGAAUUAAGUUUCAACAUUGCUUGAAACUAAUUCAAAUCAUUCGAUUGUGUUAAGAUAUGUCCUUCGGGAAUUUUGAACUACGGUUGGCUUGAUCCUAAAUUUUGGGUACGUAGGCAGUCACAGAGAUGCAACCACUUUGGGGAUGAUGGUUCGUUGGUAGUUGGCUCAGAUUUGGACAAAUUUUCGCCGAGGUAGAGAAUUGUUGAAAAAUCAUGCACGUGGCAUGCAAAUUCAAGAAAGCAUGCAAUUUUUCAAAGAGCUACCAAACAUUUGAAGAAAAAAAUGAAAAGUUGGCAAAUUUGUCAAAUUUACCAAAUGGACACCAUUGACAUAUUUGCAUGGGUUAGGUGGAAUAGUGUUUGGGUUAUGUGGAAUAGUACUUGGGUUAGGUGGAAUAGUACUAGCUUCAAGCCUAUAAAUAGAGAGCAUUUCUUCAUUCCAUUUCAUCCCAAAAUUGUUAAGCUUAUAAGUUUCUAAGCUUUUGAGAGAAGUGAGAGAAGUGUGUCUGGGGAAUUUAUCUUUCUUGUAGAGUGUGAGAGUACUGGGUAUAUUUGGGUUUUUGGGAAGUGAGAUUCGUUACUCAAAUAUUGUACUCUAUUAAUUGUUAAAUAAACAAUUAUUCUUUCUUGCCUUCGUGGAUGUAGGUUUAAUUACCGAACCACGUAAUUCUUGUGUCCUUUAUUUUUCUGUAAUUAUUUGGUGCACUUGAUUCCGCAUUCCGCGCACAACAUCCACUUCAGUUUCUUUUAUUUUACCGAUGAAAUAUAAUAAAACAUAAGGUAAAAUAAGUGUGUAUUUAGACUAAUUAACCAUGCACAAUCUUUCAAUAGACAAUAGUUCAUGCAGGGCAGAAGCAGAACAAAUGUUUGUAUUGUAGUUUUAUCAAGAGCUGCUGCUGGACCUGCCGUAACUAAUAAUUUCUUGUAGUUUUAUCAUUGCCAGGACUUCAAAAUCUAAAACACACUUUGCUUUUUAUCUUCAACCAAGUGAAUGAUCAGGAAUUGAUGGUCAAGUCAACGAGGUGACACAUUUGAAAGAGUAACCUCAUUAACAGAACAAACUUUGGCACCCGAUGAGAAUUGACCUGGCCUUGCAACAUUUCGGCCUACAGAAAAUGCAGGUUCGGUUGGUUGAGGAAGUGUUACAUUAUCGCUUGCUAACAUGACAACCACAGAAGACAUGAUAGGUCUAUCUGCUGAGUCUGCUUGAACACACAAUAAUCCAAUGUGGAUAAAUUUCAAAAGUUCAGCAGCAACGCAUGACUGCUUGAGUACUGGAUCCAUCAGCUCCAGUGCUUCUCCUUCACACCAUAGUUUCCAUGUCUAUAAUAUUGUUAUACAGGUCAUAAACAAAGAUGAGACUCAAAAUCAUUGGAAAUUAUUCUCCAGAAAGAAGGAUAGAGAAAGUUACUCACAUAAGAAAGGAGGCUUUGACCAAGUUCUGAUAGAUAAAACCCACUGUUCUUUUUUCCACUGAUGAUUUCUAGCAGUAGAACGCCAAAACUGAAAACAUCCGAUUUUACAGAAAAUAAUCCUUCCAUAGCAUACUCUGGGGCCAUGUAUCCACUGUUUGAAAACAGAACAACAUAAGAUCAAAUGCCAUAGAAAUGCUAAUGACCUAUGUGACCUCCGUAUUUUGAAUCUGGUGACAUGCAUCAUGAGGUCACAUGUUCAAACCAAAUGCAAUAGAAUACUGUUAGCAAAUUUAAUUAUUGGAAACAGAGAAAACAGAGAGAGAUGGGAAUGAAAUGCACUUACUAUGUUCCAACAAUUCGGUUGGUGUUAGCUUCACUUUGAUUUCCACCAAAUAUCCUAGCCAUCCCAAAGUCUGAUAUCUUCGGGUUCAUCUCAUGAUCUAGUAAAACAUUACUAGCUUUGAGAUCACGAUGAAUAAUUCUAAGUCGAGAAUCCUCGUGUAAAUACAAAAGACCCCGAGCAAUUCCAUGAAUGAUACUUAUGCGUCGUUUCCAGUCCAGUUGUACUCUUCUCGCUGAAUCUGAUAAUGAAUUGGACACAACGUUUAACUUGAUUAGCUACUUUGUCAUCCACUCUUCUAUGGCAAGGAAGCGGGGAAAAUAAUAGGAAAUGGAAAGACUUGGGUACAAUUGCCAUAGUGCCCAGUCGUGGAUGUGCAAACCAUAUAACAGGGCCACUUCAAUUAUACAAGCUGGAAUUAAACCAAAACAACCACAGGUUCUGUUUUUAUUUGCACAACUUAACAACUAGCAAUUAAGGAAAUAGAAAGUCGGAGAAACAAACCAAAGAGGAAGACAUCAAGGCUUUUAUUGGGCAUGUACUCAUAUAUAAGCAGUGAUUCAUUUUCCUCUAAGCAGCAGCCCAACAGCCUCACAAGAUUUUUAUGUUGCAAUUUGGCGAUUAGAGUAACUUCAUUCUUGAACUCUUGCAGGCCUUGCCCAGAUGUUCUUGAGAGCCUCUUCACUGCUAUUUCUUUGCCAUCUGCUAAUUUACCCUGCAAGCAACUUUCCAUUUAUUGUUACCACGAAAGUUUUGUAUGCGUACGGAAAACGCAAGUUUCCGCUGACAUGAACUCAUUUCCAAAUACUGCAUUCGGUGAAUACUUAGAUAAAUUUAAACAAGCGUACGGUAAAAAUGGAUUGGUACGAUUAAUAGUUGCUUUUUUAAGCAACUGUAUUUAAGUGUUUAGUAAAUUAUUGUUUGGAAACUAAGUUAAUUUAACCUCACAUUUGUAUGGUGAAAAAAUUAUAAUUUUUUUUUUACAAUUUUUGUCAAAAUUAUUAUUUAAAAAUGAUAUAUACUUUUCAAAACUUUUAUUUUAUAGAUAUAAUUUUUUUUUCUUUUUAUAGUAGUUAUAACUUAAAUAAUAUAAUACCUUGAUACGAAAUAAGACCUUAAGCAUCCCUUUAUAAUUACCUUGUAAACAGGGCCAAAUCCGCCUUCUCCAAGCUUAUUUUCAUCAGAGAAAUGCUGCGUAGCUUCAACUGCGAGAUGUAACGGAAACAAAGGGAACUCUUGAGUUUCUUCCUGCUUCUGUCCUCGUAAAGCAUCAUACGUAUAGUCGUUGCCAAGUCUACCGUCUGCUAGAUGAAGCAGCCCUGUCUCUUGACUAUUUGCUUUCUCCUCUGCAAAACAACGGAUUAAUUAACUUCGUAAACUAUGAAUAAGAACAAGGGAGUGGUCGAGUUACCUUUGACUCUUUCCUUUCUUCUCUUUAUACACCGAAGUAAAAAACUAAAUAGCACAAGUACUAUAAUUGAUGAUACAGUGGCGCCGAUUGCAAUCCAUGUUCUGCUUUCCCUCGUUUUCUUCUUUCCCGAAUCUAACAUAUAGCCAAGUUAAAGAAUCUCUGAGGAAAACUCUUUCUACAUCUUAUGUUAUGUUUAAUUUAUAUAGAAUUAAGGAACCUGAGAUUUACGAACUCACCGUCGGAGCUACCAUUCUUCUUAUUAGGUGGAUAGAUAGGAACUGUAGGGUCCUCAAAGAAAGGGUACAGCUCGUAUCUUAUGUUACAACUUGGCGUAAGAAUUCUAGCACCUCGCUUUCCGUAGCAGCAGUUUGGAAUUUGAGCAACAGCCCCGCGCAGGCAAAUAUUGGAGUCUGAUUUAGACAGAUAUGGUAUGCACUGCACCAGAGUCCUAAGUUUAUCAAUGCUAGAGGCGUUAACCAUUUGGGCUGCAGCUGGAUACUCAAAAUCCCUUGAGGUUACAUUUUGAAUUAGAUCACUGAAGGACUGAGCCAAAAUAUUAGAGAACUUAUAAGGAUCAGUAACGUUUAUUGUGAUCAGUAGGGCUACAGAUGGCUCUGUCUCUAGCCAAGAAGGAAAAGAACUGUUACAGAAGCGCACCAUACACUGAUCAUACCAUACAAUAGCCUCCUUGGCGCCAGUACAAUUUGUCACAAUGGUAUGGAUUGCAACUUUUAUGCAGUCUUGGCAGACGUCAUUAGAAACGUCGAAUCUACAAUUGUAAAGACCAUAAACUUUGUCUGGGUAAUCCCCUUCAGUUGCGUUGGAGUAUAAGUAGCGGCCAGCUUCAUUGUAGAGCUUUGCGCUGAAGAGUGUGCCAACAUUAAACAUGAAUAAACCGCCGGAAGAAGUAUCGCUUUCCCUGACGCAGAAAUGGUAGACAUAAUUGGAGUCAAGUUUAGCCGCCUCUGACGAACUUUGUAACAGCACUAAAGAUAGAAACGAAAAAAGGUGAAGCAAGCUAACUAUGUUUCUAGUUCUCAGGCCAAAUAAUACGAGCAGAAUCGGCAUCGUCCCCUUGCUCUUCAACUCUGAAAAUUUUGAGUUCCAAUGUCAAGGGACUGAAUUAACACACAAGUAUCCAACUAGAAGUAAACAGUAUUAAUGGUGAAUACAAGACGAAUUAAGAUAAAUAGGAAAAUCGUGGGUUCCAACCCCUUUCACAUAACUUGUUUUGGGAUUGGAUUUUCAUUAAGCUACAUAAUUAAAAAGGAUAAUACAAAAAACAAUGAAAUUGAAAAGUCAAACAAAGGACCAUCGACAGUUUCCAGGCAUCUUCACAUCGGAGACUAAUAACAGGUGUCUUUUUUUUUUUUAAAUAAAUCCUUAAAAAUAAAUAUUUUCUAACUUAAAAAAAGUUUGAAAACUAAUUGAAUACAACCUUUUAAUAUUCUAAAUUAGUAUAUAUUAAUUAAUUUUAUUGUAGUUUAUAAUAUUUUUAUAUAAAAAAUAUUUAUAAAAAAUUAUACAGAUAAAUAAUGAAACAAGCAUAAUAGAGUCUUGCGCUGCAUGCAUGCCUGUGGAGGAAGUCGUCUACUUAACUAUUUGAUGAGAAAUAUCAAUGAAAAUGAAAGGAGUACCAUUUCAAGGCUGCUCAACGCGGACCAACAGGCUUUUCGAAGACGCGAACCAGCCCCAAACAGCACGGAACUAGGCUGAGGAAGUCGUCCGCAGUUAAUGCAUGUAUGACGUAUGCUUUUAUUGAUUUAAUUCAUAGCGCAAGCUGAUUUACUAGAGCCGUGGGGAUAAAAGUAGACGUGAUCAGGUCACAAUAUAUUUUUAGUAUUUAAAUAGGAUAUGAAUAGAAAGGGUUUUCGAAAGGAUAGUAGAUUGAACUUGAAAAGGGCUUGUAAAGUGAGUCCAAGAGGAAGAAGGGCGUAGGCUGAAUUGAAUAUCCAAUUAGCUUCAUUCUCUUCUAAUCGGGUGAGUCCACUCGAAGCUUAUUAUAUACACCCCAUUGGUUGUUUACAAAGAUGUAGCCCUGUACGGGCACAGAUUGUAAAUAUAUACAUGAAUCGUGGUCAAUCUUGUCAGCCCUGAGCUGUCCUUCACUCUCUGGUGGUCGCUCUUCCGCUCACGAAUAACUCCCGCUGUCGCAUAGAAAAGACGCUGUCGUUUCAGCGACACAUAGACAGAGCUUUAUUCUUCUUCCUCUUUACAAUUGUUCAAUUUUUUUUUUUUGUUUUAACUCUUUAAGUCUCUUUACACUUGGGGUUAGGGUUUCACUCAAAAUCUCCAAAAAAUAUCUUUAACUAUUCUUAAUUGGCAGUUCCUAAGAUUAUUCCUCCAGUCAUAACUGGCAGUUUCUAGGCAUCUUCGUUCUUCACAUUGAAGAUUAGUCAUCGUUAUGAAAUAUCAUGCAGCUUUAACAUACGUUAGAUUAAUUAAACACGAAUUUCUGGAAAAAGAAAAAAAAUUCGAAUAUAGCAUUCUAAUAUAAAUAAAUAAUUUCAUCAAAAUGGUGAGUUAUAGUGAUGGGUGACUUCCAUCUAAUUAAGAUUGUAAAAUUCUUUUGUGUUCAUAUAUAUAUAUAUAUAUAAAAAUUCGAGUUCAAAUCCCUGUCAGUCUGUCACAUAGGUGGGGAGAGUAUUAAAUACUUGCAGUGCUAAAUAAUAACAUUGAUGUCACAUCUGUGGAGCUGCAUGUCUGUGGAGUCCCUACUUGAUUAAAUAGUUAUGUGACAGAAAAAACCCAUUGACCAUUCUAGUGCUCAAGAUUUUUAAAUUAUUCACCGGCGAAACUUAAUCAAAUGAACAGAUUCAAAACAAGGCAAAGAAACUCAAUCAAAUGAAAUUCCCCUUUAGUAAUAAUUAUACAAUACAUUUUUCAGUAAUAAAAUUAAUUAUCAACUAUCAAAUUAUCAAAGCCUACUACGUAGUGCGUACUUAUCCACGGAUUAAGAUGACUACUUUGAAAAGUUUCGUUAUAUGUAUUUCACUGAUGAAUCUGACGGUGGAUGACAGUUUGAUUGCGCAUAUUUGAGAGGUAAAAAUUAAGAUUCAAAAUGGAUCCCGUCCCUAAACAUAAGUGAUGGGGAAGUUAGCUGCUAGCCGGGCACCCCGACUCAUCACUCAUGCAAUUCUCUAAUGAGUAAUUUUGCCGUCCGAUUAUUGUUAUACUUCAAAAUGGACCAUGGGUUUGUUACUUACAAAAGAGAGUUGGGGCCUGUUUGGAAAUAUUUGUCAGGUAUUCAAAAAUGAUUUCGAAAAGUUAGUAGUUAAUUUAGGUGUUUGAUUUUUUUUUAAUUACUUUGGAGAAAAUUAUUCCAUGUAAAUUUUAAAAAGCAGAAAAUGAGUAACUUUUAAAAUUUAAUUUUGACAAUCAUUUUUUAUAGUUAAUAUAAUUUCAUAUAUAUCUUCACAUAUAUUAUAAAAAUUCAAAAUUGUCCUUAUUAAUUAGAAGAUAAAAUUAUUAAAUUUUAAAAAGAUUAUUAUUAUUAUUACCAAUUAUAUUGAGAUAAUAAAAUAAAAAAUAAAAUUAAUAAUAUAAAAUAUUUAUUUUAGCUAUCAAAUAUUAUAUAUACACAUUAAACAAAUAUUUUACAAACAUAUUUAUAAAUCUGUUAAUAAAUUUUAUUCAACAUUAUAUCCACUUCAGUCAUUUAUAUUCUGACAGCAAUUGAACUGUAGGAUUUAUCAACAUAUGACUGCUUUUAAAACCUAUAAUACUUUAAAAAUAAAUCUUACUGAACAUUUUACUAAUUAUAUUCACAAUUGAUUAUUUCGACAAUGCAAUUAGCACUAAUUAUUCUAAAAGCUACAAUAUUAUCAAAGUGGCCCUUAGUUUCUCGGGCUUACUCCUAAUAUAAGAACGAGAUUCUUCUGGGCUCUCUUUUUAUGAAAUUUAUUUUUUAUUAUGUGAUUUUGUUGUUUUCCGUUGAUCAGUUGUCAAUUAACUGCAUUUUAGAAAUAUUUAUCUUUUUAGUUUUUAAGGAUUGCAUUGGAAAUUUUUUUUUAAAAAAUAGUUGAAAUAUUUGUUAACAAUGUUGAAUACGACCAAGUAAGUAAUAAUAAAUAAAUAAAUUAAAUUAACAUUGUUUAUAGAAAAAAAAAAGUUUUUUUUUUUUUUAAGUUUGAAAAGUUUUCAUUGAAAAGUAUCUACUUUGAAAUUUUGUUUUUUCCUUUAACUAAAAGGCCCUUUGUCAAAUGUCUUGUCUUUGGGACAAGUUUUGUAUGUCUUCUAUGUAAUGACAAGUUUUCUUUCGUAAAUUUACAGAAUUAAAGUUUUCUAGUCAGAAUUUCAUCUUCUUGCCCUACUAGGCAAGGGCAAUGUCUAAAGGAAAUCAGGAGUUUGAAAUUAAUACAGGUUAUGCUCAUAUCAGUUUGGAGGAAGAGGAGGAAGGAGAACUGAUUGUAGAAGGAGAUGCUGUUAAUGAGGGUGGUUAAGGAAAUAUUCAUUUUCAGUUUUGUUUGGUGGGCAGAAUCCUCACGGAUAAAGUAAUUAAUUUUCCUGACAUGAAGAACACCAUGGCUUCAUUAUGGCAUCCAGGGAAGGGAGUUUGUAUCAAGGAUUUAUCUCCCACGCUAUUUCUAUUCCAAUUCUUCCAUGAAGUUGACGUGAAAAGGGUUCUUGAAUCGAGACUAUGGACAUUUGAUCAACAUAUGUUGAUUCUUAAAUGGCUGAAGGAGAAUGAACAACCUCAGAAUUUCCUACUUCGCUUUACUUCAUUUUGGAUUCAGAUUUACAAUAUGCUAAUAGGCUUUAUGUCUGGGAAAAUUUUGAAAGAUAUUGGUAAUUACAUAGGCACCUUUAUGGAGUCCGAUGAACAUAAUUUAAUGGGGGUUUGGAAAACUACAUGCGCAUCCGAGUGUCCAUAGAUGUUAGAAAACCUCUGAAGCGAAGGAUGAAAUUGAAGAAGGCAGGCGGAGAUUAGGUUUGGGUUAAUUUUAAAUAUGAAUGCCUUAAUAUUUUUUGCUUUAUUUGUAGAUUGCUUGGUCAUACUGAAAAGUAGUGCCCCAAAUUGUAUGAAUGUCCUCCUGGUGAAAUUGUGAAAUUUUAUGAUCACUAGAUAAAAGCACCAAAUAAAAGAAAUGCUAUGAAUUCCGGUGAACGGUGGUUGAGAUCAGCAUCGCCGGGGGAAGCUGACAAGGAAAAUGAAGGAAUGUGGAUGUAGUAGUUACCCUGGCAAUUGACCCGAUUUUUGCCACAAAUCAAGGAGAUGUUAUACGUAAGAAUAUUGAUGGGAACGUGGAUGUGGGAAUCAUGGCAACUAGUAAGGAAGGUGAUAAUUUUUUGCCAACUAGGACUCUAUCACGUGUGAAAGGAAAGCAAGUUAAGGGGACAACUAAUGAGAUUGAUUUCAAUAAGGAUUUUAGGGAUGAAAUAGAUGAGGAGAUAAUGGUUAGUGAUUCUAAAAGUAGAAGGUUGCUAAUUGGGUCAUGUAGUAAAGUGGGCUUCGAAGGAGAGGUGUCUUCCCAAACGAUGAAUUUGCCAUUAGUUUAAAAAAAGGGACCAGCGGUGGGCCCUGUAGAUUAGGCCCACCGAGUUCAAUGAGUGUUUUAAGCUGGAACUGCCGUGGGCUAGACCAACCACGGACAGUUCAAAUGCUGAAGGAGUUGGCCAAAUGUAAGAAACCGAUUUUUAUUUUUCUUAUUGAAACAUUGUAUAAUAGAAGAAAGUUAGAAAGCUUAAAAAUAAAAUUGGGCUAUGAAUGAUUGUUUACAGUUGACCCAGUAGGCCGGAGUGGAGGACUUGCUCUCUUUUGAAGAGCAAGCAGUAAUGUUAGAUCAUUAAAGUUUUCUAAGAAUUGUAUUGAUGUGGAGAUUGAGUAUCAGGACAUGGGCAAGUGGAGGAUGACAAGCUUCUAUGGGUUCUUGGAAUCUAGCCGCCGGUGAGAGUCUUGGGAUCUUAUUCGCACUUUGUCUGUUGUGUCUUCUCUUCCUUGGGUAUGCAUUGAGGAUUUUAAUGAUCUUUUAGCUGUUCAUGAGAAGCGAGUGAAGAAUGAGCAUCGAAAUUGGAAAUUGCAAGGAUUUAAACAAGCUGUUUCUGAUAGCGAUCUAAGUGAUAUUGGUAUGGAGGGUUACCAAUUUACAUGGGAACGGUCUCAGGGUACAGAGAAUUGGGUGGAGGAAAGAUUGGACAGAGUUUUUGCCACUGAUUCUUGGAUUCAUCGAUUCAAAGAGGCACGUGUUUGGAGUCUACAGUAUUCUACCUCAGAUCAUUUACCUAUUUUUAUGGACCCAAAACCUCUAACUCACUCUCAUAGGCAUCGAAGAUUUCUGUUUGAAAACAUAUGGCUUAGAAAGGCUGAUUGUGUAGAUGUGGUUUGGUCUAGCUGGUCCUCCUCUCAUGGAAUUCCAAUUCAACAAAAACUUUUAAAUUGUGGGAUUGCUUUACUUAAUUGGGGAGGUCACUUAGCUUGCGAUUUUCGUAAUCGUAUUUCUGAAUGUAGAAGGAAAAUGACUCUUUUACUGGGGCGUCGUGAUUCAGCUGGUAUUGAGGAGUUUACUGAGGCCAAGAAGCGUUUUAAUGAGCUCUUCCAUAGCCAUGAGGUUUUCUGGAAACAGAGAUCAAGAUGCUUUGGCUAAAAGAAUGGGAUAUGAAUUCUCGCUUCUUCCAUGCUACGGCUUCAACAAGAAAGAAAAGGAAUUCUAUUACGACUCUCUGAAAUGCUCAAGGACAAUGAUGUACCACCUCAGCUGAAAUUGAUGGUUUGAUUUAUGAUUUCUUCUCCAAUUUAUUUACUACAAAUGGUUACCAAAAUGAUUAAGUUUUAAACUGUGUGGAGACAAAGAUCACUGAAGAGCAAAAUGAGUUGCUGCUAGCGCCUUUUACAACAAGCGAGGUUAAAGCGGCCCUCUUCGAAAUGCAUCCAGACAAAUCACUAGGACCUGAUGGUAUGAAUCAUGCCUUUUACUAACAAUUUUAGCUUACUGUUAGUGAGGAUGUGACUGCAGCUUGUUAGCAUUUCAUUACUACUUGCUCUCUUCCGAUGGGUUUAAAUGACACAUCUAUUGUAUUGAUCCCCAAGAAACCAAAACCUGAGAUGUUGUUAGAUAUGAGGCCUAUUGCUUUAUACAAUUUGUUGUAUAAGAUUGUAGCUAAAAUGCUCUUAAACAUAAUAAAGUCAGUCCUGGGCUCUAUAAUUUCUGAAUUUCAGAGUGCGUUUGUGCCGGGUCGGGCCAUAACAGACAAUAUCCUUAUCUCCUUUGAAAUUAUGUACUUUUUGAAAAGGAAGCGGCAAGCUGCUCUUAAAAUUGAUAUGUCGAAGGCCUAUGAAUGAAUUGAAUGGGAAUUUUUGAAAGCUAUGAUGCUUAGACUGGGGUUUGAUACUAAAUGGGUGAAGUUGAUUAUACUAUGUGUCUCUACAGUCCGGUAUUAUGUUAUUCGCGAUGGGAAGGAGGUUGGACUUAUUGUUCCAGGUAGGGGACUUUGUCAAGAGGAUCUUUUGUCACCGUAUUUAUUCAUUCUUUGUGCGAAGGGUCUCAGUGCGUUAAUCCGUAAAUAUGAGUUGGCUAGCUUGAUUCAUGGGGUAAAAGUUGCUAGAGGGGCUCCUGUUGUAUCUCAUUUAUUCUUCGCAGAUGAUUGUUUUCUGUUUUUCAAAGCUAACCGAAGUAAAGCUCGUUUGAUUAAGCACAUUCUUGUGGCUUAUGGUCAAGGGUCAGGACAGUUGGUGAACUUUAACAAAUCUUUAAUAUCUAUUAGUUUGAAUGUUAAUGAAGAUGUGAAAGGGCUGAUUUGUACUAUUUUGGAGAUUAAUGCUACUGUUAACCAUGACAUCUAUCUUGGCUUACCCUCUCUUAUUAGAAAAAAAUAAAAAAUAAGUUUUUCGGUCUAUCUGAGAUAGAGUGUGGCAGAAAUUUCACAGCCGGAGUAUGAAGAUGCUGUCGAGAGCUGGAAAAGAAAUUCUGUUAAAAACAGUGGCUCAAACUAUUCCGAAUUAUGUCAUGCAAGUUUAUCUUUUGCCUAUUGAUCUUUGUAGAGAUCUAGAAACUAUGAUGAACUCAUUCUAGUGGGGAAAUAGACGCAAUAGUGGAGGUGGCAUUCACUGGAUGAAAUGGGAAUUGCUUUGCAAACCGAAGUCAAAUGGAGGAAUUGGCUUAAAAAAUCUACAUGACUUCAAUGUGGCAAUGUUGGGGAAACAAGUUUGGAAACUUCUAACGAAUCUGGAGUCUCUUGUUGGCCAAAUAUUCAAAGCUCGAUACUUCCCUGGUACAUCCGUUGUAGAGGCUGGUUUGGGUUAUAAUCCAAGUUUUGUGUGGAGAUCUCUAAUGGCAGCUAAGCACAUUAUUGUUCGUGGUAGUAGGAUCCAGGUUGACAAUGGUCAGGACAUUACUAUUGGGUCAGUUCCUUGGCUUCCAGAUACAGAAAAUUGUUUUAUUUCCACUAGCUUACAUGAGCGGAUGACAACAGCACCAGUCAAUAGUUUAAUAAUUCCUGGGCAACAUCGAUGGGACUAUGACGCAGUGGUAGAUUUGUUUAAUGCUCGAGAUAAGAAUAUUAUCCUGUAAAUACCCCUUCGUACUCAGAGGGAUAAGGACGUGUGGUAUUGGAUGGCAGACCCUCAUGGUUUAUACACAGUUCACAUCUGUUAUAAAAUGCUUAAUCAUUGUACUACUACCCCAACAUCUAGUGUUUGGAGGAAAAUUUGGAACUUGGAGGUGCUUAACAAAGUAAAGAAUUUUCUUUGGAGAGCUACAAUGAAUGUGUUACCAACAAACGAUAAUCUUAUUCGGAAAAGUAUUAAGGUAUUGCCUAUUUGCUUCCUCUGCAAUAAUCAGAAUGAAUCUGUUGUGCAUGCUUUGGUGAACUGUGCUUUUGCACAAACAUGCUGGAUUUCUUCUUCACUUGGAUUUGUUGGUCAUCACUCUUCAUUUCUUAUUUGGCUAGAUCAAGUCUUUGCCCGCUGUAGUAAGGAGAUGUGUAAUCUUGUUGCCAUGAUAUGUUGGAAAAUCUGGUUUCGUAGGAAUGAGAAAGUUUGGAAUAACAAAGUUUGUAGUGUGCAUCAUGUCCUUAAUUAUACUGGGAAUUAUUUGUUUCAAUGGCAAACUGUGAGAAAACAAUUUGUUUUCAUUAAUGAUAAUUCUUUCCAAGGUUGUCAUGGGGUUGUUUGCUGGGAAAAACCUCAUCUAGGUUGGCAUAAGUGUAAUGUUGAUGCUGCAACAUUUUCAUCUCAGGGGAAAGUCAGCUAUGGAGGUGUCAUUCGCAAUUCUGAUGGGGUUUUUGUUGCAGCAUGCUGUGCGUGUGUGAUUGGAAGUUUUGGCGCAAGGGAUGCUGAAGCGCUUGAUGUAUGUGACAUCCUAAGUUGGAUUAAGCGGCGGCAAUUGUCUUGCGUUGUUGUUGAAAUGGAUUGUUUUUAGGUUUUUAAAGCUCUCACAGAGAAAUGGUUAUGGCCUAAUUCUUGAUGAUUGUGGAGCUUUAGCUCAUUCUAUAGGAGAUAUUAAAUUCUCUUUUGUCUGAAGGUCUGCGAACACUACUGCCCAUGUUGUUACAAGGGUUGGAGAGUUCUUUAUCAGGCCGUGGAGAGUGGAGUCAUAUUCCGCCAUCCUGGUUAACUAAUUCUCUGUAUUCUAUUUCCAGUUAAUGAACUUUUCAAGUUUUAUUCAAAAAAAAAUUGUUUACAGAUAGCGUACGCAAAGUUAAGGAAUCCAAGAAAUAUACUAAGUUAAUUAUUGUAUUCAAUUUUUGUAUGAGGCCUUCAUCUUAGUAAUGCUAAGGCGUUUCUAAUAUCAUCAUUUUAUUGUCGCUGGAGACUUGCACUGCAUGCAUUAAAUCCUGGAAUCAAAUUAGAUGUAAAACUUUGUUAAACCCAAAAUCCAAAUUUGAAGUAAAAUGCUAUUAAAUCCAAAUUCAAUAAAAUCACAUAUUAUUGUUUACUGUUCUUUUACCUCUCACCUUCACCAUCACCAUCGGAGUAUGUAGAGACUCAAAAUAUGGAUCUAUAAAUUGUACUAUACUUUCUGGUGGUGACAGUAUCGAAUCACGUCACGUGCUUCUUUGAUCAUUAAUUGGAGACACAUUUGAAAGAAAAAAAAAGUUACUUUUACGUUUAAUUGUCUUCAACAUUUCAUUAGUAUUUAUCUGUAGAUAUAGGUGAGGUUUACUAGGUUUAUUGCGACUAUAGAUUUUAAGAUGAUAUAAAAACUAUGCUUCUCAAGUCAAAAAAGAAAGGUUACAGAAAGAGAUUAUGAAAAAAAAAAAAUCUAGGAAAAGGUUAUUAUAUUUGUACAAAAACUAAAAUCAUAUAAAGUUUAUGUAUCUUUUUACUUACUCACGACUAAUAAUUUUAUGCCUUCUCACAAAAUAGUUAUAACUAAACCAAAUAAAAAGAAUAUCACUGAAAUUUCUAAGUAAUAAAUAUUCCCGUAUUUAGAUACCCAUGAUUGCUGAUUUAGGAGUCAUAUAGUCUUUUUUUCAAAGUGCUCCAGUAGGACAAAGUUUCUCACUACAGCUCCAUAGAGUAGUUCAUCUGUUAACAAGAAAUGUCUAUAUAUAUAUUUAUAGACAAGUUUGUUGUCAACUUGUUAACCUCUACUCCUCGCUCUUCCUUGGCCAUUAGUAUGCUUUCAAGAAUUUCAUGAAACGGUUUUCCAUUAAUGAUAAUCACCCCAGUGCCUGGACCUACGCCACCAGUUCAUAUCUCAACUUGGAUUCAUGAUCUUUUUGUAUCUAAUCGCAAGGCUGCUUUCAGCGGAUUUUAUUUAUGGAAUUUUUAAACCACUAUCAGCAUGAAGAAUUUUAUUUUUCUUAUUAGUAUGAUGACUUUCUUUCUUGUCCGCUUGAACACGGCUAUAGGCCCUAGUCUAGUCUGAGGCGCAACGGAAGACUCCACCGUUUAUGUUUUUAUCUUUCGUAAGAGUAGCAACGUUUCUUGGAACGCAAGCAAUCCUUUUGGAAUCAGUAACUACGUUUUGGAUCGUGAUUUGGUUUCAGGUUUCGUUUAUAUAAUGCAGAACAUGAAGCGUUGGAACAUGAGCUUGCUUGUUGAGGUGACGAUAGAGAUAGUACUCUUAUUGGACAGCCUUCGUUGCUCUUUGGUUGGCACGAAGAUAACAAAUGCUGUGUCUGGUGUCCAUCCGAAGGCAAUUACACUAUAGAUGAUGUUUCUCUCGCUUACAUUGUUGGAGCUGCUUUCUCUCCGAAUCUUGGACCGUGCGAUGUGAUGGAUGAUUGGAAGCCUUCUCCUGAUGGAAUUCUACUGGAAGAAAUUACUACAAGUGACGAUGCAUGUGUUGUGUACAGAUGUUUUCGUGAGGCAUCUGAGGUGAGAACAAUUGAACGGUGGGAAGUUGCGUGUUGUGGCUGUAAGUCAACUGAGGUAGGGUCAGGCAAGAAGCGUUGAGACGAUUAACGAAGAUGAUAGGCGGCCUGUUCGGAAUAUUAUUCAUGAAUUUAGGCUCAUUGACGGGACUUAUUAUCGAUUGGUUGUGUUUAGUUUUCACCUGCAGACAAGGUCCAGCGCCCUGACGAUGAUAGCCAUGAAAUAAAUUGCAUGAGGUUGUUCGAUGUUAAUUUCCGUCAGCAUUUGGGAUUUAUUUCUGUUUUUGUUUUGUGACCAAGAUUGAGAAACAUGUCUGCAAAAUAUGCUAAUAAAAAUCUUCGUUUGAUGAGAGAUUUUCAGCUUAUUAUGAUUGGCAAAUCCCUUGGAAUAUCCAUUUGAGGAAGAAAGAAAAAUGAAUGUGACUUCUUACCCAUUCAAAUUAUUGCAUGGGAAUAAUUCAUCAUUAAUGGAUAUACACAUACUUGAAUAAAUUCAGCUUAACAUUUCAACUACAACGGUGAAGUACCCGUACAGAUUCCCACCUUGAGACUCAGUGUGUAAAAUUAAGAAUGAAGGUGUUUGAUGGAAGUGAUGAAGUGUACUAUGAAAUGCCACAGUGAGAUUAUUUUUGUGGGAAGACGAUAAUUAGAAUUUAGCAGCUCAAGGUACUCUCGAAUCAGCUAAACAAACACCCUCUAGAAGAGCUUUAUAGAAUACACUAGAAUACUGAAGAUGAAGCCAUAAAAGAUUGUGAUUCAUCAUGCUUAAAUGCAAAAUGUAUCAAGAGUUCUUAUUUCUAAUUGUAUCAAUCUAGACCCAAUCCAAGCCAUUUAAAAAAUAAUAAAUGCAAUUUAGUGUAUAGGCUUAGACUAAAAAGCCUGCAAAAUCACUUGCCGGAAAGACAAAAUGAAUUUACCGCAUUUGUGAUUUUUUUUUUCUUUGUUUCUAGUUAUUCAUUUACUGCUUUUUUUUAACUAGACCGUCCAUGAAAACAUAUCAUAACUUGUGAUAUUAUUAUUUUAAAAUAAUAUGAUACUCACCCAUGAAUGAUGAGAUAAUUUAAUUCAUAAAAUGUUUCAAAAAUUGUAAAAAUUUAUUAUUAACUUAAUAACAAUCACGUGACUUCGAAACAGUUCAUUUAGUCCUUGCAUUCAUUAGCUGCUCUGCUAGUGCUCUUCAGUUGAGAAGAUGAAUGGGAUUAAUUACUUUGAACUUCCCAAAGUUGAAUCUCUUUCUUCUUCCCCUCUAUUUCAAGCCUUCACCCCAUCAACUUAUUAUCGAUGGACUGUUUUUAAUUUUGACCUGCACAUGUGAUACAGAACCUGAGGAUGAUAGCCAAUUAGCCAUGAAAUAAAUUACAUAAGGUCGUUUGAUGUAAAUUUCCACUAGCAUUUGGAAUUCAUUUCCGUUUUCAGUUAUCUGAUCAAUUUUGAUAAACACAUAUACAAUGUGGUUUCUGUUUUAGUUAAAUUUUAAGUUAUUCAUGGAGUAGUACUUAAAAAGAAAGUAACUUUGAGAAGAAUGGGCAAAUAUGGUAAUUCUGUUAUCACUCUAAUUCUAAAUUUAUAAUCACAUAAUUAUAGGCUCAAUUUGUCUCUGGCCGUUGGAGUCAAUCGUGCAGCAGUAAAUGAGAUAAUUUACUUUCCAUACAAGGUUACGUUGGCUGAUUUGUUGCGAGACUUGGUUAUAACAUUUUUCAAAAUCCAGGAGUGAUUGAUGCAAAAUUUAAUAUCAUUGAUUCUGAAAAUCCUCUUUAUAUAGAACACUUGUAUAAAAUAAAAAUUAUUCACCUGCACUAGACACAAAGAUAGUUAAAAAAUGAGCAUGGAAUUCUUAGGUAUACAAAUUGCAGUAGCCAUUUACAUUUACGUUCUCACCUUGACCAGCAAAAUUAAUGGCUUUAGAAUUGAGCUCACCCCAAGAACCUCCAUUGAUUCGGCUCUGUUUCCCAAAGACCUUUCUCCAGAAGAAAUACAUCACAGAAUUGCUCAACUCUCCAGAGCUCGCGCUAUUCAUCUUAGAUCCAAUCAAGAACCCGAAACACUAAAACCACCUGUUUAUCCUUCUCCUUUUGCUAACACCAAUAUAUACAUAACAAAGAUAUCCAUUGGCUCAACUCAGUUCUCACCUUACUUGGUAGUGGAUACCGGUAGUGAUGAUACAUGGCUUCAAUGUGAGGGUUGCACAAGUUGCUUUCCAAUCAAGGGAGGAAGCUUUCGUGUCAAGGAAUCAAAAACUUAUCGCGGCUUAGCUUGUGAGCACCCGCUUUUUGUCCCCAAAUUGUGUAAUAAAGGUCUAAGCUCAUACGAUUGGAAGUACAAAGAAGGUAGUGGAACUAAGGGUGUGCUUUCGUCCGAAAGUUUAACUUUGCCUGGGGAUAAAAAUACAAGCCUAACAUUUGCAAAUGUAACCUUUGGUUGUGGCUAUGACAAUCAGAACGUAUCAUUUGGUGGAUACAUGGGAAGUGACAAUAUAAUUGCGGGGUGUUUGGUUUAGGGGCAGGGCAACGAUCAAUCCUGAGGCAAUUGGAGCCUGAGACCAACCUACGUUUCUCUUCGCUUGUACCCCACAACAGACGGGAGUAACACUACUUACUUGCGAUUUGGCCCUGAUGCUCAGAUAAAAAGGAGACGAUAAACGAAAAGUUCAGCCAAUAAAAUUGAACCCCAGCCUACCCGGGUAUUAUGUGAAUGUUACAGGUGUUAGCGUUGAAGGAAAACGACUAGAAAUAGACCCAGCUUUGUUUCAGCUAAAACAAGGAGGCUCUGGUGGAUUUUCUAUUGAUUCAGGUGUUGGACCCACUCUUCUUGUUCCUGAGGCAUAUGAAGUCUUGAAACUGGAAAUCCUUGAAUUCUAUUUGGCGCGAGGCUUUCAUCCUGUAAAAGUAUUGCAUGUGCCGUAUGAUCUUUGCUAUGCUAUUACACCUGCAGCUAAUGUUGAUGCUAGUGUUUUCUUCCCGUCAAUGGUAAUCCAUUUCGAAGGGGCUGACCUUUUUCUGGAUGAUACUGCUGUGAUGGGGUUUGUUGCUCCUCAAUUGUUCUGUUUGAUUUUCUUGCCUACGCAUCCAUCCGGACCGAAUCUUCUGGGGGCAUUUCAGCAAGAAAAUCAAAGGUUUUUGUUUGAUGUUGGAAAAUCUACUGUGUCAUUUGUUUCUGAGACAUGUAAUGAGCAAGAAUAAGAUUAUGUGACUCUAAAAAAAUUGCAGGCUUUUCAAAAUUUUUUUUUUUCUUUUUCUUCCCAGAUUGUCAGCUUCUUUGGAUUCAGGUCCUGCAAUUGUAAAGGCCUGAUCAGUACUCAAUUUUAGACAUAGCAGGUGUUAAAAAUGAGACUGAUGCAAUAUUUAAUUACGAAUUCUCCAAAUUUGAACCCUACGUAAACUUGAUUUAGAUAAUCAUGAUGUAAGAAGCAAUAAUGAUACAUGAUUAGGUGUACAAAAAGUUAUCGUUAAUGUAAAUAUAGAAAUUUGUAGAACUGGCAGUCGCAGCUCAUCAUGAUUAGUUGUGCAAUACCUUUAAUGGUAAAGCAUUAAUGAAAUUCUAUAAAGACUAAAAACCAUUUAAACCAAAAGAUAUAGAUUUGAUUGCCGCUCACAUGGGUGGGAAAGGGAGUAGAUUACUAUUAAGCUUAAUAAUAAUAAUAAGGAGCCCCUACGUUACGAUUAACGUAACGUUCACCCACACACAACAACAGUAUUAAUUCAUCCAAUUCAACAUUCAAUACCCAAAAACGCUGAUCUAAGCUUGCUUUAGAAAAGAUAAUUAUGAUGUAAGAAACAAUGAUACAUGAUUGGUGGUGUAUAAAUAUUUAUCAUUUGUGCAAUAAUAUUGAAACUUGAAACACUGAUAACAUGAUUAGUUGUACAAUAUCUUAACGUUAAUGCAAUUUUAAAAAGAGUAAAGAGCAUUUAAAUGCAAAAUCAGCACCAAUUCCUCAAAAGCCAUUUGUUCUUCUGUAUAUCCAUACAAAAUUACAAAUGAUGCAACAAUGUUCUUGCUACUCACAAAACAAAGAGAUUAUGGCCGUGAAACCCUUUGAUUUACAGCUACAAGGGGUGGCUGCAGUUGCCCUCUACAUUUACAUCCUCACCAAGUUCAUCAUACAACUUAUAGCUUCAGAAUUGACCUCAUUCCAAGAACCUCCAUUGAUUCAAAUCUUUUCCCCAAACACCUUACUCAUGAAGAAACACAUCAUAGAAUUGCUUCACUUUCAAGAGCUCAUGCUCAUCAUCUCAGUUCCAUGAAUUCUGCCAAAUCCGCCCGAAAACAAAGCACACCCCGAGCCUGAUCAGUGGAUGCAACCACCAAUUUUUUCUUUUCCUUUUGCUAAUAUAUAUGUAACAAAGGAUCGAGUUAAUUGGUUCAAGACAAUUCUCACCUUACCUGGUUAUGGAUACUGGUAGUGGGCUAUAUGUGGCUUCAAUCUGAAAGAUUGAUUAGACAUUGAUCCGGCAUUGUUUGAGCUAAACCGUGGAAGUUCAGGUGGGGUUUGCUAUUGAUUCACUCAUUGGACCGAUAAUUCAGGUUCCUGCUGCAUAAAAAGUUUGAAAGCUGAGAUAAUCAAGCAUGUUGUUAUACAAAAUGGCUGGCAUCUUGUAGAGGCAGAGAAUUCAAAGAAAAUUCCAAAUGACUUCUGCUUUUGGGUCACAUCAACUGGCAUUAAUGAUUCAAAAUCAUCAAUGACAAUCCAUUUUGAAAGUUGGUGAUCUUGUUCUGGAGCCUAAUGCUGUGUUUUAGAAAGUUGGUGAUCCCUUAUGAAUGAAUGUUAUCUCCAGCUAUCCCAAUGCACCAAAUCUAUAAGGGGCUUUUCAGCGGGCAAAUAACCAUUUCUUGUUUGAUGUUAGCAAAUCUAUUUUGUCAUUUGUUCCUGAGAAAUGUAAUGAAUAGAUAGAUUACAAGGUUGUCAAACAGAAUAAUUAGAGUUAUCUGCAUGAACAUAUAUAAGAUAUGUAUGACAAAAUUCCAGACGCUAACUCUUAGACUACAAUAUUUUGGUAAAAUUCUUGGACAAUGAGAGGGGCAAUUUAAUAAAUUAAAUAUUAAUUAAAUUAAACAUACUUACAAAUAUAUUUAUAUAGAUGUAUUUCAUUAUUAAAAUUAUAAUUCAUAAAACACAUCAUUUACACAGUUACGUGCCAUUAAAAUUCUCGUUCGUCUCAACUAUACAACAAUACUGUUGUCAUCAUCAUCUUAUGAAUUUUUGUUUUACUGUCAAAUAAUGAUUGAAAUUUUGACCAACCUAUCUUCUUGUCGCUGUUGGUGUACCGUCACCACAGUUUUCUACUUUUCUUGAUUGGUGAACUUAAACGUAACGGGGGCAAAGUGGGGUGUAAUAUGUAGAUUCAAGAGAGCUUAAUGGUUAAGGAUUAGACGUGAGGACUACUAAAUUUCAAAAAGAAAAAGGGGGGAAAAAUGUGCACUAGUAUGAUUAAAAGGAAAUUAAAGAGGGUGGACCAGUCGUAAGUAAGGCAUAUGAACAGAAGAAAUAAAAAAAAAAAAACCCUCAACGGUGUUUUAUAAUGGGUUAAUUAAACUUGGGUGACAUAUAUUCUGACAAAUUUCAAAACGUGAUAUAUGUUUUAAAAAUAUUUUAUCAACUGACAAUCAGUUAAUUUUUAUAGUUAAUUCAAACGGACUAAUAGUAAAUAUAUUUAUUUUAGGGUUAAUUACACUCGGAUGACACACAUUUUGAUAAAUUUCAAAAUAAUUACACAUGUUUUAAAAAUACUUGAUUAGAUAACAACUCAUUAACUUUUAUGAUAAUUCUAAUGGACCACAAGUAAAAUUUUAAAAAAUAGAUUUAUUUAAUUUAAUUUUUUUUUCAUUUUCCUCUCUCCCCUUCUUCCUUCCUCUUCUCCAGUUUUUUCUCCUUUCUUCAUCUUCUUCAGUUCAUUUUUUUUCUCCUUUUUUUGUCUUUUUCAGUUAGUCGUUUUUUUUUUCUUUUUUUUGUCCUCUUUCUCUCCUUCUUUCUUUGUCUUCUCUAACUGUCAUCUUCUCCACGGCCACAACAUGAUAGCAGCCGUGAUUUCCUGGAGCCAAAGUAGCAAAUUGAUUCAACAAGAAAAGUUUUUUAAAGAAAAAUUAGUUUGAUUUAACCAAAAAAACCCUUGUUAAUUAGACUGUACUAGAUUCAAUAUAUAUUAUUAAAAAAAGGUGAAAACAAGUGAGUAGGGGCAGAAACAUCAUUUUUUUUGUAACUAGUUGUAGGGACAAAAAUGUUAUUUUUUAAUUAAUUGACUACUUCCAUUACUUAACAGUAAAAGUUAACGGAUUGUUAUUUGAUCAAGUAUUUUUAAAACAUGGGUUCCCUUUUUCAAAUAUGUCAAAAUAAGUUUCACUGAUGAUAAUUAAUUCUAAAAUAAUAUUUUUUGUAAUUUUACCCUUAGUCCGUUAGAAUUAACGGUAAGAGUUAAUGGAUUGUAUUAUUGAGUAUUUUUUAAAUAUGUAUCUCUAUUUUAAAAUUUGUCAAAAUAUGUAUCACCCAAGUGUAAUUAACUCAACACUUAUCUUAAUUUUCUAACUUCUAAGCGAAUAUUGUCUAAAAAAGACGCCAUGUUCAUUCAAUUGAUAGAAAAUUGGUCUAGUUUCUAACUUCUAAGCGAAUAUUGUCUAAAAAAGACGCCAUGUUCAUUCAAUUGAUGGAAAAUUAGUCUAUUUUCUAACUUCUAGGAGAAUAUUGUAUAGAAAAUGCUAAUCAGGCCGAAGGCUUUGUCAUGAGUAGUCUCGAGUGUUCCGUGCCGUUUUAGUCUUCAGAAUUGAAAAUCUGCCUCAACCUCAAGACGAAUUAGCAAGAAAAGGAGUAUGACAAAAACGGCACAUCAUCUGAUGGGGCGCGUUUGUGUAUGCGCUCAAGCUGAUUAUGACUCUUUUUAGGUCAGAAAAUAUUGUAAUUUUUAAAAUAAUUAUUGUUAACUGUAUAAAUAAUCAACUAUAAAGAAAAUUAAUUAAGUAUUUGGUAAUUUUUUUUUUAAAUUAUUAUGCGUUUUGAAAGUAGUUAUGAGUGUUUAGUAAAAUCUUAGUGGUAAACUAUUGUGACAAAACAAAUUAUUAAAAUGUACAUAAUGCAGGAUAUAUUUUACUUAUACAUAUAAAAAUAUGUACAUAUAAUAUUUUUAAUUGUAUAUAGUAAUAAUUUUAACUAAAAAUAAAAUUUAUACUAUAUUUAUGAAAUUAUAUUAAAGGAUAAAAUUGGUUCUCAAAAUUAGAAUUUAAAAAUUACUUUCUCCAUGCUUUUCAAACUCAGCUGUAGGAGGAAUUAAUUUUAACAAAAAUGAUUUUGAUUUUUUUUCUACCAAACUCUAAAAUUAAUUUUUAAAUUUUUAAAACCACUUUUAAACCUUCCAAAAGCAAUCCCAAAGGGACCCUAAGUAUAAUUUGGGUCCUAGCGCACACAAGAAAUUUUGCAUAACAAGGAAUUUUUUUCCUAAUUUUUUCGCUCUAUUAAUUUUUUUUCUAAUGAAAUAAAUGAUCCAUAUUAAAUUUUGAAUUUGAUAUUAAUAACUUAACUAAUUUUUUCACUAAAUUUAAAAAUUUAUGAGAGAGAAAAAAAUAAAUAAUAAUAAUAGUAAGAAAGAAUCAUAAUCUAUAUUGCAGCAGUUAUCUCAAUGACUCAUGAGUCGUGUCGUUGUUCGUGGGUGGGUGACUUGGAUAGAGCUGGCAAAAUUUGACACGACCCGAUUACCUGACACGAACACGACACCAAUAAAUGGGUAUGGGUCGUCGAAUUUAACACGAUUAUUAAAUGGGUCGGGUUCGGGUCAACACGAUUUUUUUCCGUGUUGGGUUAGGGUUAAAAUUCUUGACCCAUUUACCCGAUUAAUGACCCGAUUAUAUUUUUUAUUUUAAAAUAAUUUACAGAUUCUUGUCAUCAAAACUCAAAUAUUAGAGAUGAUUUUUUUUUAUUCUUUAAAAGGAUGAAUAUAGACACAAUAUUUUAUUUAUAAAAUUUUAAAUACAUUUAGAGCUUUAAUAGUGUAAAUGUAUAAAAUAUUGGUAGACAUGUAUAUUUUAUAAUAUUGAUAUAUAAUAUUAUUUACAUAUAUAUAAUUAAAACCUCAAUAGUGUGUGUAAUUUUAGUAGAUAUGUAUAUUUUAUAAUAUUGAUAAAUUAUGUAUGUAUGUAUGGAUGUAUGGAUGUAUGCAUGUAAUAGCAUACAUAUGUAUGACAAAGUGUAAAUAUUUGAUGUAACUUUUGUUUAAUAUAUAGAUAUUAAGCGGGUUAUUGGGUAACCCGAUUAUUUUUUCGUGUCGGGUUUGGGUCUCAAUAUUUUGACACGAUUAUUAAAUGGGUCGGGUUUAGGUCGACCUAAAUUUGACACGACACGAACACGACCCGAUGACUCGUUUUGCAAGCUCUAGACUUGGAUUUGGCCACAUAUGUCACUGCUCGCGUCAUCGGAUUUUCUCUUUCAUUUCCCAUAAAUAAUAAUGCAAUUAGUUAAAGAGCAGUGAAGCAAAAAGCCACAAACCAAAUUUGUCAUCAAACCUAGUAAUUGCAAAUUACAGAGCUUGUACCAACCACUAAAAAUGAGCUGGUGGUGGGCUGGGGCAAUUGGCGCUGCCAAGGUAAGACUUAUAAUUAGAUCAGCUCUUUCACUUGCUGUGCUUGAAGAUUUUAUUCUUCUUAUUUCAUAUUUUUAAAAUGUCAAGUUUAAUUUUCGUUUUAAUUUACAGAAGAAAUUUGAAGAAAAUGAGCGACAACCGCAACCGCAACCUCAAGACUACCAGCACGUGGGACUCGUGAUAGGCGUUACGGGAAUUGUGGGAAACAGCCUAGCUGAGAUUUUGCCCCGACAGGAUACUCCCGGGGGCCCGUGGAAGGUCUACGGAGUGGCCCGACGCCCCAGGCCCGACUGGAACACCGAUCACCCGAUCGAGUACAUCCAAUGCGACGUUUCCGACCAGGACGACACGCAGGCCAAGCUCACAAAACUCACCGACGUCACCCACAUCUUCUACGUGACGUGGGCCAGCCGUCCCACGGAAGCCGAGAACUGCGAGGUCAACGGCGCCAUGCUACGCAACGUGCUCCGUUCCGUUAUUCCGAACGCGCCAAAUCUACGCCACGUCUGCCUCCAAACCGGAGGGAAACACUACGUGGGACCGUUCGAGUCGUUCGGCAAGAUACGGCCUCACGACACGCCCUUCACCGAAGACCUGCCAAGACUGAAUGUGACAAACUUUUAUUACACUCAAGAAGACAUAUUGUUUGAAGAAGUCGAAAAAAGAAAGGGGCCGUUGUCAUUGACUUGGUCCGUACACAGGCCUCAUAUAAUAUUUGGGUUUUCACCGUACAGUAUGAUGAAUGUUGUAGGCACUCUGUGUGUGUAUGCGGCUAUAUGUAAACAUGAAGGGGUUCCUUUACUGUUUCCAGGGAGUAAAGAUUGUUGGGAGGGCUACUCGGUUGCUUCGGACGCGGAUUUGAUUGCGGAGCAACAGAUUUGGGCGGCGGUGGAUCCGUAUGCGAGAAACGAAGCUUUUAACUGCAGCAAUGGGGAUGUUUUUAAGUGGAAGCAUUUGUGGAAAGUGUUGGCUGAGCAGUUUGAGAUUGAGAAUUAUGGGUUACCACAGGAGGGCGAGAGAGUGAGAUUGGAGGAAAUUAUGAGAGGUAAAGAAGGUGUGUGGGAGCAGAUCGUGAAAGAGAAUCAGCUGCAGCUCACAAAGUUGAGUGAGGUGGCUGUCUGGUGGUUUGCAGAUAUGAUGUUAGAUGGAGGGUUUUUGUUGUUGGAUAGUAUGAAUAAGAGCAAGGAGCACGGAUUCUUGGGCUUCAGGAAUUCUAAGAAUUCUUUCGUUAAUUGGAUUGACAAGAUGAAAACUUACAGGAUUGUGCCUUAGAGGAGUGAUAUUCUGUGGAGGUUGUAAUUGUUAUUUGGUGAGUAAAAUGGUUAUUAUGUUUCAUUUUCAUGAUUCAUGUAACUGUUUGAAAAAUCAAUGGUUUUUGGUCCGAGGUUGGAAAAUCUACAGUCUCUUCUCACAUCUGUUUUAUAAAAAUAAAAUUGGAGACUUGUUAAUUUCUGUUUCUUUGUGUUCAUCGGUUCAUCCCGGCUUUUCUUUCAUCUUCCUUGGCAUCACCAAUCACUUGUAAUAAUUGCACAACAAAACUGAGAUUUUAGAAAAAAUACUUUUGUCGGACAGGUGUACAAUUCAUCCCUCCCCCUAGCUUUCUAGCUCUAUAUUUUACAUCUCUCCUACUAUGUAUACUAAGGCCCUGAAUAAAGGAAACAAAUAAUGGAGACAUGUCGUCCCAUGCUUGAAAAAUGUUUCUCGUCAAAGAUAUAUAUACAUCAUUGAUCGUUGAUAUAAACUCUCAGUUGUGUGUGGCGUGCAUAAUUAUUUAAUUACACGAAUCUAGCUAUUCAAUUGCAUAACCGAAUGAUCAUCAAUAAGGCAGAAUCAAGCUUUUGUGGUGUUCUUGUGACAAAAUAUUCUGCUUUUUUCGUUUAAGAAGAUGACAAAAUAUAGAAUACGUAGUGUAACUUGUUAAGUACUUGAAAAUACAGAGCUUAAUGAGACAGAUACUGGGGUUAUAAUAUAUUGGGGUUAUAAUACUUUACCGCCAGCAGGUCCUCAAAAUCAAGAAAGUACUUGAAACAUGGGAUAUGUCGGAUGUUUAACGUUGCAAUCACAUAGUGUGUCAGUUAUUCACGCAUAUCCUCAAUUUGAUAGUGUCUGUCAAAGAGAUCUAUUUAUGGCUAUGCUUUGGUUAAUGAAAAAACUAAUGUAUCCCACAUCGAAGCGAUACAAAAAGGCAGCCAUGACAAAAGAUAUAAAUAAUGAGCGCCAAGCAACUGAAGGACAUACUUACCUGGACGGGGUCAAUGGGCGAUCAUGAAGGCCCAUGGCCUAGGUUGGUGGCCUCCAUUGCACUUGGGAGGUGCACCCGCCUAAGGUCAACCCAAAGUGGUUGAGCCUACGUCAUAAUUUGUGGCAGUGGGGGCCUGCGUUCGCGCGUAUCUUAUUUUACUUACCUAAUAAGAUCCUAAUUAAGGUUUAUUUUAUUAUUUAAAAAUUAAAAAAAAAACUGAAUAAUUAUAUUUGCUCACCUAAACGUUAGGCCCCAUCUUAACAUGUAGUUCCACUAAAAAAUUAGUUUUUCUUUAUUUUCUUGUUUAAGGUGUAGGAUUUUAAUAUUUUUUAAUUAUUCAACUUUAAAUCUUGAUCGAACUUAGACCGGAGAUUUAGUUAAGGAUUAUUCUCUAUUUUGAAAGUUAAAUUUCCAUCAAAUAAGGUUGUUUGAUGAUUUCUACUUAAAAAAAAAAAUUCAAGGUAAUUAAAAAUUAUUAUGCUGAAAAUCUGUUAACGGUUUAUAUAUGAAAAAAAUUAAUCAUACAUAUUUAUGAUAAAAUUUUCAACCAAUCUCAUGUUAACUUCUUUUAAAUAAAAACUUUGCCUAAGACCUAAAAUUUCAUUGUGCCGACCUAAACCAUAGUUUAGGAUGGAUGGAUUUUGUUGACUUUUUUACCAUCUGACAGGUACAAUAUGAGUGCCUUAACUGACUUGGAUCCUUAUUAUCCUACUACGUGUAUGGCUUAAAUUGACUAUAAAGAAAAUGAGGCUGGAAAUGUAUUUAAUAUUCUAAAAGCUUGUCCGAAAUUGGCUACAAAUAAAAUAAGAGCAGAAAUGUAGUUUUUUUUUUUUUAAGUCGAGCAGAAAUGUAGUUAAUAUUCUGAAGUUGGUAGCUGAUUACAAUUUUAAUUAAUCAUUGUUCUCUUGAUCAUCAUUAUUUCUCUCACCCAAUGGAGAAAGACUGUAUAAUCGGGUCGAUUUAGGUGAUGCCGGGGUUUAGAAAAAAUAUUACAUAUUUUAUCUCAAAUGAUGUGUCAUUUAUUAAGUAGUUGAUAAUUCUUUAUAAUCCAAUUGAAUUAAUUGUAUUAUCUCACCAAUAAAUUAAUGAAUAUUACAUCAAUUGUGAUAAUUUUUGGCAUAAAAAAUUUAAAAUAUAUAACAUUAUUCUUUUAUGCGGAGAUGGAAGCUUGCAAUUUAUCAUGUUCCAAUCUUGAAGACCAUGGAAGAAAGUUGACAAAGAUUGAAAAAAAAUUGUCACUUUCUACCCAAAAAAUAAUUUUAAGAUUUGUUUAAAUGAUCAUACAAUACUUAGUUUCAUAAAUGGAUACAUAAAUAUUUUUUUAUUAUUAUAGUAUUAUACCUUUUUGCAACUAUACCCAAAUUUGGUAUAGAAAUACAAAAUGUCAUUUUCUAUGGGUAGGCAUUCGAGGAUCGCAAAAAAACGAUGCCGACCACCUAAAAAAUAUAGGUACGAAAACUAUAUUUAUUAGAAAACUAUAUUUAAUUAUUUUUAUUAUGCAUUUUAAUCUUUGUAUAUAGUAUAUUGGCUUUUCAGUUCAACCACUCUUAAGGAUUUCUUUGAGAUUGAGGAUGAACGUUGUAUCCUAUAAGUAGCUUAUUUUAUAAGUUCUGAAAAAACCUAUAAAAUUCAUCUUUUCGAGCCCAAAAGUCAAAACAUGGCGACAUAUGUGUUGUUGAAUCGUGGAGUGAAAAAACCUAUCAAAAUCAUCUUUUCGAGAUAAAAAGCCAGACAAAUACCGAGGGCGGAACUAAGACUUUAAUUUAACAGGAGUCAUAAUAGAGGAUUUAAAAAAUUGAUUAGGUUGUCGCAUAAAAUUUAUAAAAUUGAAGAGGCAUUAAAAUGGAGAUUAUAAUAGUUAAAUUUAAAUCAUAAAAUUUAGUAUACCAUAAAAAAGGUCUAAGAUAUAUAUUUUUUUAAACAUGCAUGCAUGCAUGCUUCCGCCACAGUCAUACCCUAACGCAAACUUAAGACCGGUCUUAACAACGCCAAGUUUUUAAAGGGAGAUGGAGGAAAGAAAGAAAUACUCACUUGAUUCGAGUGCCCUCAAUGCCCCCUUAGACUUGACUCAUGAAUCAGUAGUUACUAGUGAUCACGUGGAAAUUGUCAACUUGCUGGGCUAAUUAUGCAAUAAUCGCUACGUGUUGUUAUAAACUUAUAGUUAGCGCAAAUAUGUUGUUGUUUUAGUUAACAAAUUAUUCUUAUUAAUUUUAAGAAAAAUAUUUAUAUCAGAAAUUGUUUCAUAAUUUGAAUUGGUCAUCAACUAGCAAAUAAUUAAGAGCCAUCAAUAUUUGAAAUGGUGGGAUGCUAAUAGCAAUAAAUCCGAGCACGAUUAAUACCAAAAAGUAAAACACGGCGCCUUAUUUCAAAGUUUCAAUGAUUUUUUUUUUUAUAAAAAAAAGCACAUAACACGAUGGUCAACCAUACCAGGAAGAAAUAUCAGUUAUCUCAGAUUAUUAUAAUAAAAUCAGAAAGGUCGUUGCCCAGCAGGGCGAAGUGGCCCACCGAACACUGGCCCGCAGCAGGUCAGCUCCAUCGAAGGAUAAAGACCAGAGUAUCAAAAUGAAGUGACAGCCCGAGAUUUCAUUUAGUCAUAUCCUAAUCACGAUCAAGGAGACAAUUAAAUAAAAUUGAGUGGCGUACGUAUAAAUUAUAGAUUCAAGAGAGCUUAAUGGUUAAGGAUUAGAAAGUGCGGACUAGUACGCAAAGGCAAAUGAAAAGAAGAAACUGAGAAGAAACAUCAACGUCGAUGUAAAAUUAUGUAUUAAUUGUAGUAGAUGGCUUAUCUUUUUUUUUUUUUCUCUCCCCCCACCCCCUCCUAAAGUCGGAAAACGCCAACAUUAUGCAUGGUUUGCUCAUGGACUCCAUGUAUCUUUCAUGUUUUGUUUAAGAAUGAAGCUCAAAUGAGGGCACUUGACUGAGUAUGACAAGUUAUUUACGAGAUAAUCGAGAAAUUGCAAAGUCAGUAUCUUUCAUGCUGGUUAAGUAAAGAUAUUGGACGGUACGACUGCUAUUAUUUGUAAGGCCACGGUCAUGUCAGAGUUGCUACCGUGAAGCUAUAACGUAGCUGGAUCCUAUUUAUAAAUGUAAUGUGCAAAUAACAUGUUUUUAAACUUAAUAUAUUUUUAUUUAAUGUAUGAAAUUUGAAAUUUUAUUAAUUUUAGAUAUUUUUUUUAAAAAAUUAUUUAUUUUUUAUAACUUAUGUCUGAUUUAUAUAUGUUUGUAUCGGAAUAGAAAAAAUAAUUUUUUUUUUACUUUUAUUUGAAUAGAAAAAAGUCUAAAGAGAAGUAAAUAUUAUAUUUAAAAAAUAUUUGUAUAAAAUAUAUUUAUUUCUUAAGUUAUAAAAUCUAAUCUUUUUUGUUUUGGUUUGCAAGGAUAUAAAUGUCAAAGAAUUAUGUUUAAGUUUUUUUAUUUAUAAAAAUAAAAAGAUGUCGCUUAUAUUUAGUAUUAAAAAAAACAUAUCAUUUAAAUAUUCAUAUUUAAAUUCAUUCAGACAUUAGAAAAAUUCAGAGACAUUUAGAUUUCAGAUAAAAAAACAAACACUACCUUAAAUAAGGAAUGGUAGAAACCCCUAUAGGGAUGGUGCCUUGGGAAUUUUUCACAUUUGAGGAGGGUAUGAAGAUAAUUUGAUACUCAAUUUCUUAUUCAGAGAAGGAAUGAAGAUAAUUUUUUUUAUAUCUAAUUUCAUAUCCAGGGAAGGGUCCACCCUUUCCUAUUUCCCCAUUUCCUAUUCUAAUUUUUAAUUUUUAAUUUAUUUUCCUAGAAUUAAUAGUGAAUAAAUACUAAAUUUUAAAUUGUAAAAUAUUAGAUAUUAGUGUAAGUAACAAAUAUGAAAAUGCUUAUACAAAUACUAUAAAUAUUAGUUAAUACAAAAAAUUUAUUGUAAUUUAGACUUAACUAUAGCCCAAAAUCAGUAAUCGCACAUGCCUACAAUUCACAAAUCAAAUUCUAAGUCACUCUCUCACAACAUUACACAUCCCUGCCAAAUUAUUUGUGCCAUAACUAGUAUCCAGCUUGUCAUCAUCUCAUCAUAGGUCACUAGUACAUUGCAUUGUUGGUGGCCGAGUAGUCUAACUCAUCGCGACGUCAACUCGUAGCCCCACACGUGGCUUCAUUGCGCUAUAAUCGACCAAGAGAUAUCAUUACUCAUGGACAACACUCACGUCAAUAUUGUAAAAGAAUCACAUUAUUUGAAUUUUGUUUUCAAAAUCAUUAUUUGAGUAUUGUAUAUACCAAAAGUUUGAUGGAGUAGAAUGAAAUAUGACAUGUUUAUGAUCAUUCUCAUUUUAUUUUAUAUGAUUAAAUUAAGUGUAAUAUGACCUAUUUAGAUUAAUAUGAUUAAAUUAAGUGUAAAAACUAAAAAAAUAUCAGUUAUUUGGGGAUUAUGGACCCUUAGAGAUCUCUUGUUAUUUUUUAGAGAGGGGAUGGAGAUCCCUCAAGCAAUUUUGAUGGGAACAAGAACCUAAGUAGAAUAUUAAGAAUGGGUACAGAGAUUACGAUCUCCUCUUUUCGUCUCUCCAUUACCAUUUAAGGUUUAAACAAUGAAGGAAGCAUGCCAUUUUUAUCAUGAUUAUGUAAGUACGCGUGUCACACGUGCAAUCAAGCUUUGGAAAAUCAAUUGCUUUGGUUUGAUGUUGGAAAGCCUUCGUUCUACCAUCUCUUUUGUUUCAGAGACUUCUAAUGAGCAAAAAUUACGUGGAAACCCUUGUACUACCCAAAUAGAAGUCAUGUUUGUUGGUUAGAUUUCCAGCUAUGUAUUGCAUUUUACGUCACUCUCAAACUUCAAUAAAAUUGAGUCAAGUUGAUGAAAAGGUGAACAAAAGAAUGUAAAACAAAAUGUAAAUUCAAAUUUCUCGGUUUUCGCUUCAUAUAUGCAUUAAAAAUAGAACACUUCUAUGUUCAUUGUAUGUUAAUAUUUGCAACCAAUCACUCUGUCAAAAUUAAACGACUCUUGAUAUAUAUUAAUAUUAUUCGAAGAAUUUGAGUUUCUCUGCUGCAAACGAUAUGUUUGGCAAAUCUAGGACUAGAGUGCUCUAUUUAUAUUUAUUUUUGGGAUGAUUUAUAACAAGAGAUUUCUUAUAUAUAUUUUAGCUUUCCUUUUGUUAUUGUAGUUGUCUAACUAUUUUGAGGGAUAAGGCUCACUAUGUCUCCCUUAAUUAGAUAUAAAUUAUUUUUGGUUUUCAAUAAAAUUACAUCGCCAGCCAAGUUUCAUUGAAAAAAAAUUAUCUAUUUAUUUAUUUUUUAAUGUUAGGAGAUCCUACAAAACUUAAAUCGAUUUAUUUAACCUCAUAUCUCUCCAAACUGUUUGAAAACUACUUGGUCAAAUGCAGGACUUUAAUUCUAACAUAUCUUGAUAGGUCAUGGAUAUAUUAGAGUGGUUCUAAGGAAAAACACAAGUCACAUCUUGGUAGUGUCGUACUGUCGUUAGGGUGCACCAAAUUUAAAACCUUACUACUAAUAUAAAUAAUUAGUACAGAACGAGUAAGGAUCGAUCCCACAGAGACUAUACUAGUUAUAUUUAUUAUCAACUCUAAAGCAAGACUUAAAAUAAAAUAAUAAUAGAAGUAAUUAAUAUAAAUUAAUCUAACGAAAGAAAAUGCCAAUUAAAAAGGGGAGUUUUUGAAUUUUUAACUAAAUAGCAAGAAAUAAAGAAAUUAAACUAUGAAAACAAAAAUUUAAUAAAAACUCUAAUUAAAGAAGAAAGAAAUAAUAAUGAUGAAAACUUUGGUUAAAGGAUUAUUCACCACCACCAAACAUGCACAUAAUAUAUCAAUUUUAUCAUCAAUUUAUAUUGAAACUAUCAACCGUAGACAACAACAAACUUUGUUAGUUUCAAUCUUUCUUUAGUGUGUCGUUAGGCAAAACAAGCUCUUCACCUAAUCUCUAACCAUUAAAUAAUUUAAAACAAACUCUUUAAAUUUAAGAGACUGGAAGCAUUAAGUAGAGAAAUAUAUUAGGUUGAUCUAGACAAUAAACACACAAGCUCGGAUUAUUUAACCUAGGUUAUGUUCUCCAAUUGAAAUCACUGAUUCCAACCUGCUACUUAAUCUCAAGACAAUUACGGAUCAAGAAUUUUAAUCUAACAAUAGAAUUUAUUCAAGUCCUAUCUAAUUGGCCACUCAAACAAGACGAGAAUAAAAUCAUAAACAUUAAUUAUAGAAGAACAUAAACAAUCUCAAUUAAAUAAAUUGAAUGAUAUAAAUUAAAAAUUAAUCAUAUGACAUGUUUGGGGUUUUGAAUUCACCAUCAACUAAAUAGAAAAUCUAGCCUAACAUAAUUAAAUUGGGAAUAAAAGAAUUGAUAAAACCAAUCACGGAGAUUAAUUUAAGCGGCUGCCUUUUUCUUCAAUUCCCUUCGGCUGGUGAUUUUUUUUUCUCCUUUGCGACUGCCAAUCUAUCUAUAUAUAUUAAGUUGGGACUUGAGGAGGUGAUGUGGCAUCACCAUUUCUCAUAUUUGUAUAUUCUCUAUUAUCUAAUAAAUAGAGAAAUUUUCUUUUAGAUUUGGCUUUUCAUCUACUCAUAAUUAAUUUGAUUGUUAUUACACAAUAACAAUUAUGUAAAGAUUUUAAUGAGGCAUAUUAUUUGUAGUGAACAUCCAAGGGGGGGUGUUAUGAAUUUAUUAAAAUAAAUGUAGAUGUUCAUAACAUAUAUCUCUUAGUCUCUCCACUAUCUCCCAUUAGCAACCUUUAGCUUUCCUAUAACUCCCACUAUCUCACAAGAAAUUAUGUUCCAUAAUUUUUCAUUAAUUUUAUGGAGUGAUUAUGUAACUAUAAAAGGAGAGCUCAUCUUUUUGUUUUGUACACACACAAUUGAAAUGAAUAAAAUUACUCUAUAAUAUAUUCUCUCAUUUUAUUCUUUAUCUUGCGUUGCUUCUUUAUUUGUAUUGUUGGCUAAUAGCUUUUUUUUGUUUUUUAUAAGGCUAAAAAAAAUCAAUUUAAAUUUUUUAUCAGUUUUAUCAAGUGUAAAGUAAGAAAAAAAGAUAAUACUAAAUUCUUUUUUCAAAGCCACGUGAAGCGCGGUUAUAUUUUCUAGUUGUUUUGCAUGUGUGGCUGCCGAAUAUAUAUUCCCCCUCGUGUUGCUUCCACUUGGCCCUUAUAUAAUGCUUCAAUUGUGGCUUUUAAAUCCUUGCAUGGAAAGAAUUAAAUCAAAGCAAAAACCGCCACUUUCAUAACGUGCUUGCCAUUUAAAUUGUCAUGCAAAACAUUUAAAUUACAUGCAAAAUAUUUCCAAUUAGAGCAUUCACAAACUCUUUUGAUUGGCCAUGCUUAAAGCCAAAAGGCUUUAUUCUUUUCUUCCUCUCACGUGCUGGAUGGCAAUCUCCUUUUUCCAAUUUUAGCUCCAUGCGAUGGCUUAGCUUGUAAUUGGCUUGGCUUCCUUUAGCUCCAUGUGUAAAAUUAAUUUUGCUUGGCCCGUACAAGCUCUAAUUGGAAAAUAUUCUUUAUUUCUCCAAUUCUUGAUCUCUUGUGCACUUUUGUCUCCCAAUCUUCAAUUCUUUUCUUAUUUUGAUUCUCUCAAUCAGAUUUCUUUCAUGAAUGCUCCGAUUUAAUAUCUCUUUAAUAUCAAAAAAUACUUAAAAUAACAAAAUAAAAAAACUAAGAUAAAAAAUAACACAAUAAAAAUAUAAUUUACUAAAUAAAAAAUUAACUAAAAUAACUAUAAUAUUUAAGACCAAAACAAGAAAAAGAUGGAGAAAUUAAUAGCAAAAUAUAUGAAAAAUAUGCACUUAUCACAUCUACACAUGUAAAGUGAUAAAUAGUAAAAAGUAUGUUAUAACUUUAAUCGUAUGAUUAUGAAGGAGUGUUCCACCGUGAAGCAGUUCCAACAUAGCCGGACUCAUCUUGAUAAUAUAAUAUGAGUAAUAAAUUGACACUUACUUGGCAAUUAAGUUAAUUAUUAAAAGAUGUCACACGAUUAGCAUUUAGAUAAUUGAUAAACCACAAAGUUAAAUAACACUAUAAACAUCAUAAUUAAUGACAUGUGUAACAAUGAUUUGAGACAAACUAUAUAAACCCCAGUUUCGUAAAUGUAAUACAAUAAAUUAUUAUUGUAUAUUAUAUUUCGAAUUCAUCCGUUACACCGUAAGAUUGAAUUAAUAAAUAUCAAAUAAAUUAAUGGUCAAUUAGCAUCAUUUUCAUCCGAUUAAACUUUCAUAAAAUAACAAUGAACAAAACCAUCCAAUAACUCAUAAAUAAUAAAUCAUAAUUAACUAUCUUAAACAAAUUCCUUAACAAUUACAACUACCGUCUUCAUUAUGUAAACAACAUCGGAGUAAAAGUAAAGCAGCACAGAAAACUCUAUGACGAGGUGGCAACUGGCAUCCAAGAUGACCACGGAGGUGGUGGGCCGAGAUCAGUUGGAUCAGGAGGUCCAGGUGGGCCCAUUGGACCACGAAAGCAGCCUUGUAGCAACCAGCAGCAGCACAGAAAGCUCAAGCUGUCAUAACAAACCCAACGACAAGCAACCGAACACCAGUAUUAGCUUUUUCCGCCAAGAAUUUUUUUUUGUCAACGUGUCAAUUUUUUCGUGAUUGUUCAGCUGCAUCUUAAGUUCCCAUUUUGACACGUGUCACUGUAUCUUUACACUACAUCAUGUAUCAACGAUGUUUACUUGGUGCACUUCAACAAUGAAUGGGACUAACAGAACAGCACAUGGAGAAUUUUGAUUUUUGAAAACCUCAACAUCUAAAUUCGAUGUUUAAUUACUUUCCAUGAACCGAUAACUUCACAAAAGCCACCGAAAGAGUCCAGCAGUCCAAGUAGUGGUGGACCCCACACAGGUGGCCCUCCAGGUCCUCCCGGUCCCAUUGCUAUUUGCUGAUUACUGUUGCCGGCUCUUUAAGCAAAGUUAGUUAACACCAAGGAAAUUAACAAGAGACUUUCAGAAGUCCAAACUCGCUCUUGCUUGUGUAUAUAGAGAUGCAAAAUGUUUUUAUGUUAAAUGAAAGUGGUACAAAUGCCAGAAGGUUUCUUGUGUUUAUAGAAAGUGCAAGCUUAGGAUUUAAGCAUCCAUCUUUGUUGCCACAUUUGCAUCUAAUACUUUCCAACUGCUAGUCUUCUAUGUCUAACAUUCAAGACCCUGCUCAAGAAUGAUAGCAAUUACCAAUCACACGCUCAUUCAAUAAUUCAAGUGAUAAUCUCUUAAGUUAAAACCCAUUUAAUAAUCUAUGGAGGAUUUGUGCCCACAAAUGUGACCGAAUGGUUUUUAAAUAAUUUUAUUUAAUUAGCUACCCAACUUCAAAUCUUAAGAGAAAUAAGGGAUUUAAACAAAAUGAAUUUGAUCAAAAUGAAUAUGGACUUUGCUCACUGCAGUGAAAAAAAAUAAAAUUACAGAAGAUUGAUCGACAGGAGUCUUAAGUGAUAAGCAAUUAGAUCAUAUUUUACUUUCCAGAAGAUGACAUGUCUCAAAGAGGUUUAAGCCAAGAAAUUCCCAAAACGCAAUAAUAGAUGAACAAGUGUGAUUAGAAAGUGCCACCAAGAAAUGAAAAGAAUACUAUAACUAAUAAAUCUAUAAAUCUCAUUUCCAUGAUGACAUUAUAGCAGUGGGUUACCAACCCCAAUUGAAUUAUAUAUAUAUAUUUACUCGAAAAUUAGGUUAGAGGGUAAACUGAUUACACAAAUUCUAUAGAAAAAUGGCCAAAAAGGCUGCCUUUUGCCUCUGUAUAUGUGAGCUAACUUCUAACUAGUAUUCUCUUCCAGAUAAUUCAUCCAUAUACAACUCUGCAAAUCACAAGAAUCCUUCACGAAAUGGCCGCCAAUCCAAUAGAUUUCCCCUCUUCAGUUUCUGUUUUCUGGGGCAUUAUCUGAGCUGCGUGGUCUUGCUGAAAAGAGAAUGCAACAGACUAGUAAGUAGACUACAUUUGAAGAAUUGCAGAUUCGCUUGAAUUGAAAAUAAAAAUUAAGGCAUUUAUUAAAAUGGCUUCUAGAACAGCUUAAGGGGUAGUAUGGGCAGAUUAGUAAAAGGAUGGAAGAAAAAUUAUGCAAGAAUGCUUACUUGAAACAUUUGUGAUAACAUUAACACUUUUCUGAGCAGCAAGAGCUUUCAACUUGUUCCCACUACCUAGUACAAGCAAGCUCCUCAUAUGUUGCUUUUGUUCCCUAGGACUAGCUGUCUUUGUUGUUUGGAUAUUCUCACUUCCUAUCUUUUGAAAAAGGGGAAAAAGAAAACUUGCUUAGCGACGCUUAAUUACUGCUGUUAAUAUUCUGGCCAUUUAACAAACUUAUGCCCAUCGUUUGGAAAACCAAAAAAAUACAAUUAUUUUUCCAAGAAUAUAAGCAUGAAGAAAACUGAAACUAAGAAUGAAAUCUGAGAGGUUCAAAAGGCAUAUAUAUGAAUUAAAAUGAAGUUGAUUAUAAUAAGGGCUAAUAUCAUCAUUUGCAAAGCAAAAAAACCAAAAUAAGAAGCUAGUUUAGAGUUUCUUAUCAGCUAGCUCUAAAGAAAGACAAGUGCAGAAAAUUAAAGAUGUUUUUUUAAACCUCUCUAAUCUUAAACAUAAGUAGUUGAGGUGCCGAAUGCAUGGAUGGAUCCAGUACCGUAAGUAACAAGGCAGCUUCUUCUAAUUAAGCAUAUCGUCCCGUCUGGUUAUUUCCGUUUGCCAGAACGCAACCUCACCCAUGAUCACAUAAUUAUCCACCAACAAAACAAUCGUUGCCAAGGUCAUAAUCAAGCCAUCAUCAGACAGCCCGUGCUCUCCACGGACGGCAGCAGCUAUAACCUCGUGAUAAAUCCAUAACAUUUUCCAUCCAGAAACGAUGUGCGGGACCCAAAUCUGCACUACGAAAAGCACCACGAAAGAAGUUGAGCAACAAAGGUACGUAAAUCGAGAGAAGAAAAUAAUACACAUUGAUGCUUAAAGAG